UUUUUUUUUUUUUGCUUUUUUUUCUUCUUUUUUUUUCCCUUAUCCUCCUCCUUCCUCCAACCGGUUGCUAGACCUCAGUGACCGGCCAGAGGUGACAGCCAGCGAGGUCGAGGUCAACCUUGCCGGCCACCUCGCCAGUGGCCGCGAGGGUGACGAGGCUCACCCUCGUUGGAUUUGGCGAGGGUCAAGCCUCCCCAAAGGCCAGCGAGGGCGAGCCUUGCUAGCCCGGCACGAGGCCAGCUUGAGGCAGUGGCCUCAUGCCGAGCUGGUGGGACUCGCCCUCGCCACCCAGGCCUUGAGGGCAGCCUUGCGCUAGGCAAGCAAGGCUCGCCCUCGAGGCUCAACCCUUGCCAACGCAAGGUUGCUCUCGCGGCCACUGGCGAGGUGGUUGGCGAGGUUGACCUUGACCUCGUCGGCUAUCGCCUCUGGCUAGUCGCCAAGGUUUGGCGAUCGGCUAGAGGAAGGAGGAGGAGAAGGAAAAAAAAACAAUAAAAAAAGAAAAAGAAAAAGAAAAAAAAUUCAAAAAUAUUAAAAUUAUUAAAAAUUGUCAAUGUUAACACCGAUCAGACCACGUCAGCCGGCCGGUGUCCAGUUAACAAAAUUCGGCUAAAAUUGGCUAGAAAUGACUGAAUUGGCAUAACGUAAAAAGGUUUAGGACUAAAUGAGCACCAAAAAAAGGUGUAGGACUAAAUUGGUAUAAAUACAAAAGGUUUAGGACUUUUUUAACACUUCUCCCUUCAUUCCUCCAAGGAAGAGAGCAAUGGUCUCUGCUCUUGCAUCUCUGGUAUGCUGCGCCUCAUAUGGAGUUGUUCAAAUUUCUUGAUAUACUCAUCAAUGUUUAUUUCAUGUUGCUUAAGAAAGUUCAACUUUUUUUUUUAAAAAAAAGUCUUGCUUAUAGUUGUCAAGUAAAGAACCUCUCUUUUUUUAAAAGUUUCUUUAGUUUUCGCCAAGAUUUGACCUUACCUUUUCCUUAUCUGAUUAUUUGAUUUUUCAGAUUUUUCCACCAAGGCAAAAAGGAAUCUUCCACAGCUAAGGGUAAAAGAACCAUAAGGUGCACCGCCAAAGAAUUAGAUAAAAAACCAGAUUGAGGGGAUUCGCUCACUUGAGAUGGAAAUGUUAUCAAAUUCAAAUUUGAAUUCUACUAUGGAGAUUGCACCAUAUGUCACACCCCGAUCCUCCAAGCAUGUACUCAUCCCUUCAUGGUCGAUUAAAUAACGACAUUCCAGAACGCAUCGUCGACCCAUUCAGUUUUUAAUACGCAUGCAGAAACAAAUAAAUAAUCUCCAGAUAACAACAACAUGGGAUAGAAAAGCAGAGCCAUAAUUUUUCGAAUUGAAAAUCACAACACGCUUAUAUAUAUAUAUAUAUAUAUAUAUAUAUAUAUAUAUAUAUUAAGCCAUGUCAUUACAAAACCAUUCUAUAAAAACAAGGUCUGCAAAACAAGGGGUUUAUAAAAUUACAGAUUCCUCCACCUCUUCACUGACAUUAGAGCCUUCCUCCAAGUACACUGGAGUUCCUGGGUCUUCAAGAUCCGAGUCCACUGGGUCUACCAUUGAACCUUCAGGGGGAUCUGUAGUGCCUUUCCCAAAAGCAACCUCCAACACAUACACAAGUGCCUCGGAUUCCGGAAUAGGACCCUUUUUCUACCCAUGCCACUCACGACGGUACCAUGAUCUGUAUCAAUGAGGUACCUUAUGGGGUAAAGCCUCAUCAACCCAGACCACAGACUUCACGAGCUCAUAGACCAGACCUCUAGGGUGCCCAUGAAUCAGAAUAUAGAGUACCUGUUCGUGUUCUGUGAUCUUCUUCGGUUGACCAAAACGCUCAAGAAGAGCUACCAUCUAGGGACCUGAAAUUGUUAUCCCACAACAGGGUGAGACAAUGUCUAAGCAAGUUUAACCCCCUAAGUCCUCACUAGGAAGAAAAUAUGCCCCAAGGGUUACCUAAGUACAAGCACGAAUCAAAGAACUUACUUUUGCCUCGGUUCCUUCCUGCAAGUCAGUACACUUCAUCGAAUCACAUCAACAUUUAAAAUCAUCAUACUAGAUCGAUUCAUUGAUCAAUCGACCUAGUCGAUUUCAUGUCAUCAAGACCAUUACACAGUCAUUUCAAUUACUCACUCCAACUAUUAAUCACGGCCCAACGGGCACGGCCUACUAAAUGUUCAGUGGUGAAUUACGGCCCAAUGGACACAGCCUGUUCCAAGUUUGGUGAUAAAUUACAGCUCAGUAGGCACAGUCAUACUUUGACGGUUAAUUAUGGCCCAAUAGGCAUAGCCAUACUUCGGUUGUUAAUUGAGGCCAACGACAUUGUACUUCACAAUUAAAUUCUUCAAUUAAUAUAAUACCUUGGCCUAUUUUUCUCGUGUUAAAAAUACCCAAUAAAAAUAAUAGUGUGUGGGCACACGGUUGGCCUCAGCCAAAAAUAUAAUAUCUUUACUUUCAAAAUUCUCACCAUUUAUAUAGUCGAUAAAAACAUUUUUGAUGCUGUAAACCAAUGGUCAAUUAUUUUCUAAUUAAAUACAUAAAUUAAUAAAUUUUGAGAUAAAUAUCCCAAAAUUGUAAAUCACACUCGAUUGCACAAAAUAGCAAUCAAUUAAAUAAAUCAAUCCCACCAAUACAACAGCAUAAAAUUUUAGUUACCAGCUAUCUCGGUCUAACUUUCAGAAAAUAAAUAAAUAAAUAAAUACGGAAAUUAAUUAUUAAAUACUAAAAAUGCACACUUAGGCUCAUAACGCCUAAUUAAAAGCUGAGACGGGCCCGGAAAAUUUCCGAACCACUCUAGAUAAAUACUAGAGCUUGUCUAGGCUCUAAUUACACUACUCUAACCACCUAACAUGCAAUGACAAUUAAUAAAAUUGCUAAUCUGUUCUAACUAUCCAACUAAUCCAUACUUAGUCUAAACUAAUUAAUCCUUAAAUGUCAUUAAAUUACUAAGCAAUGAUUAGUGAAUUAAACUCACUUGAUUAAAGAUCUGCUUGGAUCAAAACAACGGGGAUGCGGAGAGGGUCCACAAAUCCCAAAGCGGCACCACCAAGCGAGGUCAGGAAGAGCUCAGAAACAGGCCAAACAGCGGCUUAGAGACCCAUUAUUGUUCGGUUCUGGUCAGGGGCCGAGAAGGCUGCUCUGGGGCUGGCUGAGGUGGAAAUGGGCAGAGACGGGCGGAGGGGCUGAAGCGGGUCUAGGCGGUGGUAGGCGGUGGCUCUGGCAACCACAAUGGCAAUGCACGACGUCCUGGUGACCUGCUAGAUGCACGAGCUAGGUAAGACAGCACGGUUAGGACGGCAGUGAUGCGCGAUGAGCAGGCGAGCACACAAGGGCACAACGGGUUGCGGUGGCUGUCCGGCGGCUUGGCGGGUGGCUAUGACGAAGGAGGGAGAUGCUGAUUGGUUUUCUGAGUCUUUGAAGCUUCGAACAACAUAAGAGGAAGGGGGAGGUCGACGGGUGAAGGCAGGGAGAAAGAGAGGGAAUCGGCUAAGUAAGGAGGGGGCCACCAUGGUCACUCUCUCAUUUCUUUGUCCCAUUUGGUGUGUCCCACCAAGCAGCUGGCCUCCACAACCACAUUUCCAGUAGCCUAGUCUUCUUCUAGAAGCUUUGAAGUGGUCCAAAUGCUGUGGGUCAUGGGGUAUAUGAAUUUAGCUUGAUUUCCCACAACUUCCACUUCAAUUCUAUCAUGAAUUAACUCUAUUUGGCCUCUAAAAAUUUAAUUAUCGAGUCCCUGAUCAAAUUGGCAUUUUUCCUCGCCAAUAGAUCCUGCUCACAUCCCAAUUUCAUGAUUAAAAAAAUGUCCUUUGAUUUUCCCGGUCGAAAACGGCCAUAUAUCGACUUUUUCCGCCAAAACUUUAGUUUGCAGAAAAAUCUUCGGAAAUUGAGUUGACGUUCCUAAAAUGACUCGUGACAUGACAAAACUUUCAAUUUUUGAAAUUGAAUUCAAAUUCGCGGUUAAUUUCAAUUUGGCGCGAUUUUAGCAUGACCUAGGCUACCGGGUAGUUUUUAGAAAUUUUUAGUGCCAAUGACCCGUGGUUGAUUUUGUUCGAGUCACAAUAAACAUUUUCGACACAUUAGCGACUCUUGGUUAUUAUAAAAAAUCUUGAAAAUUGAAAUAUGGACAUAGGGUACUAAAACGACAGAAAAAUCAGUCUAGUGCUGAUUGACGAAAAUUUCUCAAUUUGGUGGAAUCACCUACGUUUAACCACACAUCUCAGUCAAACCGACCUAUUUCUGAUUUCUAAUCGAUCUUUAUUGUACCGUAAUGAUCUCUACAGAUAAGCACGAUCGAGUAGUGGAUUUUUUGUUGAAUUCUCAAGUCUAUUGCAUUAAAAUUCCUUAAUGACUUCCCUAGAUAGUCUAAUUAUCUUAGGAGUAAUUAGCUCUGAGAACAACACUAUAGGCGCGUUGAUGAAAUGCCCGAUUUAUUAAAUUGAAAACAGAAUUACAAAUUUCAGGAUGUCACCCCACCUAUUUAAAAGUACUUACAAAAAAACAUUAAAGAAAGUAACUAGAAAACACUAAAGACAAACGAACUACGAAACACAUUGAAACAAAUGGCAUUAACUCUUUAAAUUCUAGAAACUCCAUCGUUGGAUGUCUUCCUCUUUACUGGACUCGUUUAAUCACGUUAUGCUCUUUGGAUGGAUCAAGUCUACUCCCUUGACUUGCAUUAUUAACAAAUGGCUUAGUCAAUUGACGAUAUUUGACUUGGGCUUGUGAGUUGAUUGUCGUCAGUAAAAUUUCCAAGCUCUAAUGCUCCUACAUCACCUGAACAGUUCAACUACGUAAUCUCGAUUCUUAUUAUGUUGAUAUUAUCUAUAUUUUAUACCGAAAAAGAAAGUAGACUACAUCUCAUACAAGAGAGAAAUUCACAUAAUGUAGCAAAUGCACUUUCAAAUCUAUGAAAAGAACUACCUUAGCUAAUUAUCAAUGUGGUUAAAAACGACAGUCUAGCCUACUUCUUUAUUCAAUGACCAACUUAUAAUAUGAUGAGUAAAUUAAGCAUCACUGCUUUGCCUGAUUUAGAUUUUAGUCAACACAAGUAGAAUUCAAAGUCAAGAGAAGGUCAAUUAUGAUAUUCACCUUAACAAAUUACAAGAACAUCAAAUGGAUCCAUUGCCUAUAAAUUUGCCAAGUUUUGGCACCAAAUUCCUUGCACCUUCCUAAAGCAGACAAUUCAAAGAUAGGAGAGAGAAUAUAACAUAAUAAACUCGAAAUGCUAAAAUAAUUGUUGCUUCUUCGAUUCACAGUUAAAAAGAAAAGAAAUUAUCCCAUCAAAAUUCUCAAUACUUUGCUAUGGGACACUAAUACCUUAAUUUUCUUUCGUUCCACCGACAUCUCCAAACUUGUUUCUAUCACUCCAGUAUUCACAAUUUCAUUCAUAUAAACAAUCCUACGUUAGAUUUAUAAUGGCCAUCAGGAACGAAGCCUAACAAAUUGUACUUUUAAGUCAUUAGUACAAAUUUGAGGUGUUAGUGAGAUGAAUGAAAUUGGGCUAUUAAUGUCUCAUGGGAGAAAAUUAGGAUUUUUGCUAGGAUUAUCUCUUUAAAAACUGCGUUCCAAUAUUGUUUUCCAGCCGCGGACGUCACAUCAUCAAUUUCAAUUGUCUACCUGGGCUUUGAAGUUGCUGACGGAUGCACCAAUAUUCUGGCCUAUUGAGUGGGAUGGGAUAAGCUAUAAUUAAUCUUCCCGUGCUUUGAAAGGGAUCUUUAUAAUGAUUUCGAAAAUAUAACUUUUUACGAACUAAUAAUAGCCCAAUAUUGCCAACUACUUUUCCGCCUUCUAUAUCGACUAUUAUUAAGGAUCACCAUUUGUCGCCAUAUAAUCUCUUUCUAAAACCCAAUCAUCACUCAAGAAAUUCACGUGGGAGAAGCGAUGUUAGAAUUGUUGCAUCACAAUGAGGAUCGUUUUUAAUGAUGUAAAAUCUCCCGCGAUCAUGUACCAGUCGUCAAGGAGCUGAUGCUUGACUUCGAGAGUAGGAGAUGAUUGAAGCCAGAAAUUCGCCACAUAAAUGUACCCAGCACUUAAAAGAAGACCUUCCCCUAAGUUGAACCUGUUGGAAAAAUUAUAAUGAAUAAUCGGGAAGAAUAAUGAAGUGACUUAAAAUUAUUGGAAAAUAUGGCUUCAAAAUUUGAUAGAACAAUCAAAUUAGAUUUUGAGAUGUGAUGUCAUUUCUUUAAGAAAUUUUUUGCCCCAUAAUGUUGUUAAUAGUCACCGGCAAAUUUUCUCCACAAUACAACAAAUUCUCGAUAAGAAUACUAGAUAGCAAUUCUAGUAUUUCUCUAAGGUCAAAACAUUAAAAACAAUGGUUGUAUAUUCUUUCAAAAGAAAACGAAAAUGGAAGAAGAAUAUUAUUAUUAGAUAGACACGUUCAAUAUUUUAUAGCAAAAACAAGAAGUUAAAUCCGAACAGAUACAACCUUUCAAGGAUUAAGAAGUCAUACUGAACAUGUAUAAACUCUAAGAUAACCGUUGGAUGAAAUAAUAAAAUUCGGAAUUAAAUAAAUAAUAACCGUAACUCAUUCGUGAACAAUCAUACUGUUUCAACAGGAUGCUAUUGUUAAUUUUUCAUAAAAAUGUAUCAGAAUUUUAAUAAAUAAAAUAAUGAUUGUUGGUCAAUGUCAAAUCUCGUUUACGUGCGCACUCACAUCUUGUUGAUGUGAGACAAGGCAUCUCUUAGUUUGUUAUACAAACCAACUACUAACAAUCCCGCACUUUGUAAAACAAAAAUACGAAUAAUCCUUAAAAUUGUUGGAAAAAAUAUGACGAACGAUCGCAAAGAACAAUGAAGCCAUACUUAAAAUUAUUUGAAAAUAUGACUUUGAAAGUGGAUAAAGCAAUCAAGUCGGAUUUUGAGAUAUGAUAUUACUUUUUUUAAUGAUUUAUUUACCCCCACAACGUUGCUAAUGGUCAUUGGUAAAUUUCUACCAUGAUAUAAUAAAGUCUCAAUGAGAAUAUUAGAUAACAAUUCUAGUAUUUUUCAGGGUCUCUCAUAUGAAAUAAUUAGAAACAAUGAUUGUAUAUUCUUUCAAAAGAAAACAAAAAUGGAAGAAGAAAUUUAUUGUUGAAUAGACACAUUCAAUAAUGGGUUAAUACCCUUAAAAAUCCUAAAUUGGUACUCCUCUAACAAAUUUAUCCAAAAUUAUUUUUUUUUACCACCAAAACCCAAAACUGAUAUACUUUUGACAAAUUUACCCAAAACUGGUAUACUUAUACAAAUUUAGCCUUUGUCAGUUUUUGUUAAAUUUUACUAUCAAAUUAUUAAAUUAAAUGACACAUGACAAUUAACUGAUAUACUAAUUUAGGAUUUUACGCACCGUUUGUCACAAUUUACAACUUUUGUGAUUUUUUUGUGGUAUUAAUCCAAUUUAGCGGAGAGUAUAUUAGUCACAAAUUUACUAGUUUUUGGUUUUUUGUGAUCAAAUAAAUUAGUUUUGGGUAAAUUUGUCAUAAAUGCACCAGUUUAGGGUUUUUUUUAUAGUUAGUCGAAGUAAAUUUGUCACAGGUAUACAGGUUUGGGGUUUUUUAGUGAUAAAAAAAAUAAUUUUGGGUAAAUUUAUCACAAGUAUAACAGUUUGGAGUUUUUCAAGAUAUUAAUCAUUCAAUAAUUUAUACUAAAAAGGGGAAGUUAUAUCUGAACAAAUACAACCUUCUUAGGAUUAAGAAAUCAUAUCUGAAUAGGUAUGAAUUCUAAGAUAACCAUUGGAUGAAAUAAUAAAAUUCGAAAUUAAAUAAAUAAUAAAUAAAAAAAGCUGUAACUCCUUAUGUUACACUGUUUCAACAAAAUGCUAUGGUUAUUUUUUUUUAUAAAAAUAAAUCCUAAUUUUAAUUAAAAAAAUGACCGUUGAUUAGUGUCAAAUCUCAUUCACAUAUGCACUCACAUCUUUUCACUGUGGGAUGAGGCACAUCUUAAUUUGUUAUACAAUCAAAUAACCAAGAGAACCUACAUGUCAUUAGCCUGAAAAUGAAAGACCACUUCUGCAAAUCUUCUUAAUUUGUCUUCAAUGAAUAUGAUACGGGGGAAUUUAUGCUCUACCCUGAAAGCGACCUAUGUUCACCGAUAUAAAAUUUUUAAAACCAGAUCUUCCGUUUUGGGUCUGAAAAAGUACCCUGCAACCCAGUCAAUGUAUCUCUAUCUCAUAUCCAUUUUGGCUAUUCCCAUUGAGACCAUUCAAGGCAUUUAUUUGGUUAUUUCAACCAACUAAUAACUUUGACUUUUUGUUACCACUUUAUGAAAAAUCGAAAGAUAUAAACAUGUUAGAUUCUCGUGACUCAUUGGUAAAACAGUAUCUCUUCCGAAAGAGCGUAUUUUUUUUUUUUAACCUCCGCACAAAUAAAAUCAUUUAGAGAAUCGAUAUAAUUCUAGCUCUGUUCGUUUUGCUUAUACACUAGCUUGACUAAAAGGGAAAGGAGUCAGCAAUAAUGUGGGCGGGGGUUUCCAAAAAAUACAACUAACCACUAGCUUGCGGAUAAGAAAAAAGAAUUUUACGUUCUUCUCUUGCGUCAGUUCCAUGGUCCUCAAGGUACCAUUAAUACUCUUCAAUAAUUUUUUCUCUUUUAAAAUACCGGUUCAUAUUGUUAUAAUUCGAUUGUAUUAACACAUUCAGCCUUCAAUAUAAACCAUUGAGGCAUUACAUAAUAUGUAAAAGUACAUCUCCAUUAGCAUAAUCCUAAGUGAUGCGGAAGCAUCAAAUUCUAUUAAACAAAUUUCAAGCGCAACUCAUGCCCAAUCAUUACUCAUGCAAGCAAAUGUCAAUUUCAGCUACAACUUGAUUCAAUAUGUCCAAAUUUAAGUCUUUUGAUUGUAUAGUUGCCGUGGACUACCUAAUUGUCGAUUUAUAAGACUAGUUGUUGUUGACUUUCAUGCUCCUGACUACCUAACAACUAGAGGCUUUUUGGUCUGUUUCCAUGAUUGUUUGUUGAUUUUCUAAGGUGGCUAUUUGACUGGUUGGUGGAUAAAUUGGGAGGGUCUAAUACUAGUUACCAUGCAAUUGCUCUUAGCAAAAUGCAUUUAGUCAUAGUUAUUAAGCGUCUUAAUUGCAUUGUUGGUUCCAAGUCUUAAUUUGAGUCUUAAGUGUAUUGUCGGGAAUGAUUCUUAGUUUCUAUGAGUUUUAAGUGUGUUGACAUUUUCAAGAGUUAUAAUUAUGUAACAGUUCAAGAGUAAUUAUAGAGGUGCAAUCUCAUUUGAACGAACAAGACUUGGAUUUGAUAAUGCUUCUUGAAGUGAGUAAAUAUCUAUCUUUGAUUCUUUAUCCAAUUCCAUUGAUGGUGUUUUUUUAGGCCUUGGUAGUGAACUUCAUCUUCUUCAAAGUCUUUUAUCCUUAGCUGGUGACUUAGUCUUUUAUGUCUAGGAGUAGGUGGUGAACUUCAUGUAAGGUUAUUUAUCCUUGACUGACAGCAUGCUUCUUUAAGUCUUGUUGGUGAACUCCAUCUAUCCCAACUUCAUUUUCUACCUGCGCACAUCCAUUUAAAACCUUUCCAUCAAUCGUUUCAGAAAACCUAAACAGACACUUGUCCCGGCAAACAAAUUUUCGUAAUAUCUCAAUUCCCUUCACUCAUCACUAAGACAUAAUAACAUCAAACAUGAAGUAUGGCAUAUUUCUUCCUUACUGUUCACAUAUUUAAAUAGGUAAAUUUUGCAAAGAAAAGAGAACAUUAAAAAUAUUAAAAUACAUAUGCAUAUUUUGUUAAAUAUUAUAUAAUACAUCCAGAAUGUCAAUCAUUUUAGAAAGUGCCCUACAUAGAGUACAUAAUAUGGAGUACAAGGUGGAUACGAACCUACCCCAUACUCAUAGGUGCCAAUUGGAAACUAGACUCUAUCUAGUGAAUUAUUACAAAUGCCCACUCUGAACCUAUCCAAUGUGCCGGUUCUCCAUAUUCAAUGGAUUCUCUUCCACAAACUUGUAAGAUUGGAGAGAGGGAAACAGAGGUUCCCAACUAGACGCACCAUGGACAUUACCCAUGGAGUGGAGCAUUUGAUUUCAUGGCCUGUUCCUUGUAAGAAAUUAUCUAAGCCAUUUUCUUAUAUCAAGGAAAUUACAUGUCAAAAAGAGAGUUACGCCAACAUCAAUUUUCGCAAAAUUGCAUAUUUUCAUACAAUUCUUGCAUUACGAUAUGUUUUGACCGCUAUGCUGCUUUUAGAACAGUUUAGAUCCACGCUGAUUUUUUGGGGAGUAAUAGGAAAUCUACGUUUCACCAUGGUGCCAAUACUUUUACCGAUGCUGUCAAUUGCGCGAGGAAUUGGAGGAGUCAAUGCGAUAUAUUUCCACUUACAUAAAAAAGAAAGGGACACGAGUUUCUUUAACAUGAUAAUUUAUGAGUCUUUUAAUAAGAAUUAUAUUUUGACCUGUAACUCUCCUCCAUUAGCUUGUUCCACGAUUACGUUUUGCUCCUCAGAUUCAGGCUCGUCCUCAUCUUGGUGGCAAACUAUGUUGACUUCUGAUUGUUUGUGGAGCUCUUUGACAAACUAUGUUGACUUCUCUUUUUUUAACUCCUUUUUCAAUGAAUUUUCGACAUUGGUGGAAGAGGCCCCCUUAAAGAAUGAUGUCCCUUAAUUGAACACUUAGUCGAAAAUCUCCUAGUAUCCUUAACUGUUUCUCCGUUUUCACAGGUUGCUUGUAAACGUCUUCAAAGGACCACUUGAAACUCAACCAAAUCGACAAUAUCCUUGCUUAUAUCUCUGUGGAAGCGAGCAAUAGUCUGCUCUUGAUCAAUUUAGUUGAAGCUCAACCAAAUCAACAAUAUCCUUGCUCGUAUCUCCGUGGAAGCAAGCAGUAGUCUGCCCUUGCAUCUCUAGUACGUCGCACUUCACAAGGAGAUGUUUAAAACUCUCUACUGUAUUCCUCAAUACUCAUCUCAUGUUGUUUGAGAGAGUUCGCCUUUUGAAACAAGUGUUACUUAUAGUUGUCGGGCAAUACCCUCUUAUUCAUAAGAUUCUUUAGUUUUUGCCAAAAUUUGACCCUACAUUUUAUUUUUCAGGUCCCACCAGGGCAAAAAGGAAUCUUUCACCAAUCAAAGGCAAAUAAAUUAUGAAGUUGACCACCAGAGAAUUUGAUGAAAAACCAAAUUGAAGGAAGUCGCUAAUUUGAGGAGGAAAUCUCAUAUAUGAUGGCAAAAUAAUAGCGCAAGUGCCAAAAUUUAGUACUGAAGGACAUUCAAGUGUCAAAAGUUACAAAAAAAAUACGCUUCCAUUUUUUUUGAAAAUUGGGAUAUCUAAAUGCCAAGUCUAACGACCUUGGCCAAAAAUCCUAUAUGGAAAUUUUUUAAUAAUAUAACUUGCUACUAAGUUAGCAAAGCAAAACCAAAAUGACAUUAUUUUGCCUCUUUUUUGAAUUUUGAUAUAAAUAUUAAUUAAAUCAAAUUACUAUUUAAAAAAAAAAGAAAAAAAAAAAAAAGAGGAGAUGAAGAUUGCAAAUGGCAAGGCCUCAGCACUCACCAUCGCCUCCCCAUUGAUUUUGCCACUUAAGUGUAUAUUUCCUACUUUUUAACACUUAAGUAUCUCCUGUACCAAGUUUUGACACUCCAAGGACCCAGGUCUCCAUAUUCCAUCAAAUAGGAGUCUGGAUUCUACAAUGGAGAUUGCACCACUUAGUUAAAGUAUUGACUAUACAACGUUAGAGAAAUAGGGACUAGAAAAAAUUAAAGACAUAAGAUUAGGAGCCACAUUAAAAUACACAAGAACUUAAAAUUCAGCCCCCCAGCCGUGCAUGCUAACAGCAUUUACCCUUCAGAUUCAGAAACUUCGUCUUGGUCGUCUUCUUCUCGCUCGACCCAUUGGAUCACGUUAUGCUCCUUGGAUGGAUCAAGUCUACUCUCUUUGCUUUCACAAUUAAAAAAUGGGAUUGGUAAAUUGAUGAUGCUGAGUUGGGCUUGAAAGUUAAUUGUCUUCACUGGAUUUUCCAAGAUCUGAUGCUCUUGUUUCGCGUAAGUGUCGAAGAAUUAUCUUUCGAAUUAUUGAUGAAUCGAUGAGUGAAUUGACAGAGAAUAUGAACGGUCCUAUGUUGAUUUUAGAUAGGAUGGUAAAUGACAAGGAAUUGAAAGGUACCAAAAAUAGAGAUAAUCAUGUCUAACCAAGGCAAUUUCAAGAAAAUAAUGAUAAAUGAUAAAUUUGUGAGAACGUUAAGUUCUUGAAUUGAUUGAGAGGCCUUUCUAUAAAGUGCAAUGUGGCUAUUGAUAGCCUAAAAUUGACCGUUUCAAACAUUAUUGAAUUUUUGAAAAUAACUUCUUGAUCAUAUCUUCAGAGCAAAUAGUUUCCUAAUCUUAUCCGCGGUUACUAAAAGUUACAUUAUCCACAAUUUCUUAUUAUUUAGUAACACUUAUCUAAGAGAAAUUACAUAUAAGAAAAUAUAACUUGGCAGUUACAUGUAAAGGUUUUCAUUGAAACUGAUGUUCAUUAUCAAUAUGGCAAGUUGGUGAUUCUCUUCAAGUAGUGAAUUGCUCUUUUCAUCAAUGACUUGUUAUUCACCAACUUUGCUAUCAUCGAUUCACAUGUAGAUUAUAACAAAAAGUAAAUCAUUGUUUUUUUUUUAUGCCGAGGAUUCGGCCUAGCUCACCUUACGGGAGCACGGCAUCGACUAUACCUCGAGGGAGACUGGCCCAGCAACCCACCGCCGAGGCCCCCCGCUUAAAUCAUAGAACUACUCUAAGAGUCAUGAAUGACUUAGGGAGUCGAACCCCUGACCUGGUGGCCAAAUCAGGGAGUACGCCUCAACCAGCGCAGCCAUGCAUGGGUGAAUAAAGUAAAUCAUUGUUGGUCUCAACAUAUGUCCCAUUUUAAAAGAAUGGAAUGUUCAUCAAUCAUUUAUUUAUUUUUUAAAUUAGAUCAUCAAGGGUUAUCAUAUGUCCCCUUGUCAUCUUCCCUGCCAAAUUACCUCUUGAGUUGCUUUCUUAAAAACAACAUAAUUAAUUGUGCUCUUGCUGCAUGAGUGGUAUCACUUCAAAUAUUUUUUGUUUACCAAAUCUUUUCCACUUAAGACAAUUUCUGUUAAUUCUAUCAAGCUAUUUUUUAAGAGUAAAUUGAAGACUUCGUCCAACUUGCUAAUGUCGUACUAGAAAAGUUGAAUGUCUUUACCCCUAGCCUUUUUUUCUUCUUCUUUUUCUUGGCAAGCUUUAAGGAUCAACGAAUGUAAGGCUCGUCAAACAUCAUAUUUGCCACAUUUAUUUUAAUGUUUUCAUUUGGGUCAGAUUUAUAUGCUAACUUUUAAUUUUCCACUAAACCCAUGUUUUGUGCAAAAUUUUAGGUGACCCUUUAUCUCUGUCUUUAAGAAGUUGCUCAUACUUAGACACUCUUGUUGUCAAUUGAAAUAAAUUAAUAAAAUCUUGGUCUUCGAACUUUUCUCUUAGAUUGAAUUUGAAUCCAUCAAAAGCCAAAAUCAUGCAAUUUUUUUCGAAGAGGGAAGUAAGGUGUUUAUUCCUAGCAUCAAGCAACAAAUUGAUCAGCGAACUCAUCGUUGUGUUGAUAGAGUCUGGUCAAAUCAACAAUCAAUAUUUCAGGUAUUGUUCUAUAAACUUGAGAGUGGAAUUGUCUUCUCUGCCCAAUAACACAACGAAUUCAAUGAUAAAUUGGUUUACUAGGUAAAGACAGUUUUUGAUAAAAACAAAGGAAAUAACCUAAAUAUUAAAAACUCAUUUAUCGCUACUUGCCCACACUGAGAUAUAAAUUGAAUAAUGUGUUCAAUAGUCUCCAAUAAAAAAUGCAAAGUAAGGAAUUUUGAAAUUUCUUAGAAAAGGCUGAUUUUUGACACAUUUAUUAUGUGAUUUCCUAUAAAUAAAUAAAAAAAGAGUAUAAUACACCCAUAUCUAAUCCUGAUCGUUGUUAGACUUCUUCAAUAAACGGGAGAAGUACAACUCAAGUAUCAAAACUUGGCACGGGGGACACUUAAGUGUCAAAAGUUAGGAAAGCGACACUUAAGUGCCAAAAUCGGAACAAAAUGGAUCACUUAAAUGCCAAUCCGGCCAAAAUCUGACCAAAAUGCUGACGUGGUAAUUUUUUGGCGAAAUAAGUGCAAAACGGCAUCGUUUUGCACACUGAUGUAGCUAGACAAAGCAAAAAAGACGUCGUUUUAGUGCUGACGUAAUAAAAAAUUAAUAAAUUUAAAUUAAAAACUAUAUUUAUUUAAAACAUUUAAAAUAAAAAUACAAAUAUUAAAAAAAAAAAAAGGAUGCGUGAAAGGGAGGCGGUUAAGGGCUGAGCCCUUGCCGAUGCCGUCUCCCCGCUGCCACGAGAAGGGCUGGCGACGAAGGGGGGAGGCUCGGCCAGGGUCGUCGGCCCUUGGCCAACCAACAACAAAGGCUUGCAAGCCCUUGCCGGAUCUGGAUGAGGGCCGCAACCCUUGCCCAAGCCCUUGCCUAGAUUCAACGAGGAUCGGUGGCCCUCGCCCGGCUGGGCCAAGGGUUACCACCCGCUAAGGGGUCACCUCAACGGGUGGCGACCUUGGCUCAGCCGAGCAAGGGCCGCUAACCCUCACCCCAUAUCUGGGCGAGGGCUCACGAGCCCUCGAUGCCGGUCGACCGUCGUCGCCAGCCCCUGGCCAAGCCCGGCGACCUCGGCCGAUGCUCCCCCCAUUGUCACUAGCCUUUCCCGGUGACGGCGAGGUCCUCACUGGAUCUGGGCAAGGGUCGUGACCCUUGCCCCAUAUUUGGGCUCGGGCUCGCGGGCCUUUGUCAUCGGUCAGCUGAGAUCACCAGCCCCUGACCAGGGCUCGAUGACCCCGGUUGACGCUCCCCUCACCAUCGCUAGCCCUUUUUGGCAAUGGCAGGGAGGUGAUGAGGAACCAUGAGCCCUCACCUUAGAUCUGGGCGAGGGCUCGCAGGCCCUCGGCAUCGAUCGGUUGGGGUCGCCGGCCCUUGGCUAAGGCCCGACAACCCCAACCGACGCUCCCCCCACCGUCGUUGGCCCAUCCUGGUGACGACAAGGAGGUGGCGAGAACCUGCGAGCCCUUGCCUAGAUCCGGUGAGAGCUCAUGGGCCCUCGCCACCGGUCGGCCAAGGGCCGGCAACCCCAGCUGACCCUCCCCCCUCCGUCGUUGACCCUUCCCGACGAUGGCGAGGAGGCGGUGGUGGUGAGGGCUCAACCCUGAGCCGCCUCCCCUCCCUCCUCUUUUAAAAAAAAAAAUAUAUUUGUAUUUUUAUUUUAAACGUUUUAAAUAAAUUUAGUUUUUUAAUUUAAUUUUAUUAAUUUUUAUAUUAAUUAUUUACCACAUCAAAGACAAAACGACGUCGUUUUGCAUUUAUUUUGCUAGAAAAUUGCUAUGUCAGCAUUUUGGCUAGAUUGAUACUUAAAUAAUCCAUUUUGCCUAGGGGAAAAUGGAUCAUUUUUUCUCUGAUUUUGAUAUUUAAGUGUCACUUCCCUAACUUUUGACACUUAAAUAUCUCUCCGUGCCAAGUUUUGGCACUCCAGGUGUCUGACACUAUUCAAUAAACCAUACUUGGUUCUAUUGUGGAUUUGGUUGGUGAUUGAUGCGUGAUGGGGUGAGUGAUUCAAGAACGGAAAUUUUUCAGAGGAGAUUUUGUGGUUAAGUGUAUAGAGUAGUAUAUACGGUGAAGAAACAAAUGGGAAUAAGAAAAGAUAGAACAAUCUCCUCCCAAGGUAUAAAGGACACGCUACCAACUGAAGAAGAGAAUCGAGAUUUACGAAGUUCACCACUAAGGCCUAAAGCUUCCACCAGCCAAGGAUAAAGGACUUCGGGAUAGUAGAAGCUCACCACCAAGGCCUAAAGAUUCCACUAGCCAAGGAUAAAGGGCUUCUUGGCUCACCACCAAGGAGUGAUCUACGCUCCAAGGAUAAAGAAACCGAAAUGAGUUAUCCACUCUCCGAAGAUGUUCACUCAAGCAGAGGAAAUCUCACUAUUUUCAUUCAUAAAAUUCGUAUCUCCUCUACAUUAGAUAGUUUUUCCUAUUUACAGGAGGAUUUUAGCCUUAGAAAAUAUUAAAAACAAACUUGAAGGACCUAGGAACUUAAACGUUCGACUCUUGAGAUACAUAAAAAUAAAAACACCUAGGAACUUAAUAAAAGCCUUUAUUAACACGAGAACUAAAAUGCAUUUAAUCUUCGGCCUUCCGCAUUCUCGAACCAUUAGCUUUCCAUAUUCUUGAACUUUUGGCUUUCCAUAUUCUUGAACCGCAUUCGCGAACCUUUAGCCUUCCCAAAAUUCGAGCUCCUCCCUUGACUAGAAAAUAAUUCUCCUGAAACUUCAUCAAUUGGUCAUACAAGACAUCUAAAAUGACCUCUCAUUGAUAGCUAUCGAUAUACCACAAAGUACCGAUAAGUAAUUAACAUUAUUCAUUCAAAAUGAUAAAUUGAAGCACAUAAUACCCAACUUCUUUAUUGGCUUGGAUAAGCAUUGAUGGUUCUAAGUUGGUCGAUGGAGCUACAUUGGAUGCUCCUGCAUCAUCCUCCCUGGGUUGUUUGAAAUUUGUCCUCAAAUCUAGAAGGUUUUCAUCCUCCAAGUAAGGAGAAAGGUCUCCCACGUUGGAUGUUGCUGAAACUCCAAACUCUCCUGGAAGAUCAAUCUUGUAAGCAUUAUCACCAAUUCAUUCAAUAACUUUAAAGGGACCAUCAGCUCUAGGCAGCUUGUUCUUUCAUCAAAAUGGAAAUCUCUUUUUUCUCAAGUGAAGCCACACAAGAUAGCCCGGUUGAAAUUGAGUCUUCUUGCAAUGUUUAUUAGCUUUCUUCUUGUAAGAUUCAUUGGCCUUUUCAAUCUUGGACCGAAUCUGCUCAUGGAGCUUCUUCAUUGAUUCGGCUCUUUUCUUGCCAUCAAAGCUUACUUGAGAGUUAGAUGGAAUUGGAAUCAAAUCAAUGGGUGUUGAGAGGAUUAAUUCCAUACUCAACUUCAAAUGGCAAUCGACCAGUAGUAUACUUGGCGAUCGAGAUUGUAAGCAAAUUCAGCAUACGCAAGCUUUAAAUCCCAAUCUUUUAACGAUUUACUCACCAUACCACAAAGAAGAGUGGUUAGAGUACAAUUUGUCACCUCCGUUUGAUCAUCAGUUUGGGGAUGACAAACUAUGCUGAAUAAGAGUCUUGUACCAAGCAUUCUCCAUAGAGUCCUCCAAAAGUAGCUUAAGAACUUGGAAUCACGAUCUGACACAAUGGUCUCUGGUACUCCAUGAAUGCGAAUAAUCUCUUUGAAAUAUAAUUCAGCAAUAUGAGAUGCAUCAUUAGUCUUGUGACAUGGCACGAAAUGAGCCAUUUUAGAGAACUGAUUGAUGACCAACAUGAUAGCAUCUUUCCCUCUUUGAGUUCUUGGUAGAGCCACAAUGAAAUCCAUGCUAACAUCUUCCCAGGGCUACAAUGGUACCGGAAGUGGAGUAUACAAACCUUGAUGGAAAUGACUUUUUGAUCUUUGACAAGUUGCACACCUCAAGAUGAUAGCAUGCACAUCUCCACUCAUCUUUGGCCAAUAGAAAUGCUCUUGAAGAACCUCAAGAGUUUUGUUAAUUCCAAAAUGACCAGCCAAUCCUCCACCAAUUUCCUCUCGAAUAAGCAAUUCGCGAAAAGAACUCUUCGCGAUACAUAAUUGAUUUCCUUUAAAAAGAAACCCAUCUUGCAAAGAAUAUAUACCUUGAACUCCCCACUUGCAAUUGUUGAUGAUGGAUGAGAACUCCGCAUCUUCAGAAUAAAGUUCUUUCAUUGAUUGAAAUCCAAGAAUCCUAGAGUCCAGAAUAGCAAGCAUAGAAUAUCUUCUUGAUAAAGCAUCUGUUACAACAUUAGUGUGCCUAGGUUUAUAUUUUGAGACAAAAGAAAAUGAUUGAAGAAAUUCUACCCAUUUUGCAUGUCUAGAAUUAAGCUUGCGUUGGCCGCUAAUAAACUUAAGUGCCUCAUGAUCAGAAUGAAGGACAAAUUGUUUUGGCCUCAAAUAAUGACUCCAAUGAUCAAGAGCUCAGACAAUGGCAUAGAACUCUUUGUCAUAAGUUGAAUAAUUCCUCUUGGAAUUGGAUAACUUUUCGCUGAAAUAUGCCAAUGGUUUUUGUGCUUGCACUAGAAUAACACCAGUACCAACUCCACUUGCAUUACACUCAACUUCAAAUACUUUAUCAAAAUCAGGAAGUGCAAGAAUAGGGGAAUCACAAAGUUUCUACUUGAUUACCUCAAAGGCGUUUUGAGCAGUCUUUGUCCAUUCAAAAGCACCAUUCUUCAUGCAUUCAGUUAAAGGAGCCAUGACGACACUAAAAUUUUUGAUGAAACGUCGAUAGAAAGAAACAAGUCCAUGAAAACUUCUUACAUCAGAAAUAGACUUCAGAACCGGCCAAGUCUUCAUAGUUUCCACCUUGGCUUGAUCAACAGAGAUUCCAUCUUUGGAAACCACAUAACCAAGAAACACAAUGCUUGGAGAGAAGAACUCACAUUUCUCCGUUUUGCAAAUAGUAUUCGUUCUCUCAAGACAUUCAAGACCUAUUUUAAAUGAGAGAUAUGCUCCUCAUCGUUCUUGUUAUAAACAAGAAUAUCAUCGAAAUAAACAACAACAAAGGCCUUGUUUGUUAACGUUCUUUUUUUAUGUUCAUGAACAAAAAUCCUGUUUUUUUGUUCCAAGGAAUAAAAAAAGAACAGAAACGCGUUUGUUUGUAUUUUUGUUCCAAAUCUAUUUUUUUGUUCUCAGGAACACAUUUGGAACAGAAACAAAAAACAUAUUUCUUGUUUCUAGAACAAUUUUUAAGAUUAAAUUUUCUCUCUCCUCUCUUUUUCUUCUCUUUUUUUUCUUCUCAUUUUUUUCUUCUUUUCUUUUUCUUUUUCUUUGGUCGGUUGCCGGCCUCAGCCAUGGUCGGCGACCGGUUGUCGAGAGCCAAUGAUGUCAUCGAGGUCCAGCGACCUCGCCGGAGCGUCGCCGGCCCCCGCGAGGGCUCACCCAGAUCCGGCGAGCCCGAGCUCGCCUAGCCACUGGCGAGGCUCGCCGGCCUAGCGGUGGCGCGGCGAGGCUCGGCCUCACCGGGGGCUGGCGAGCCUCGUCGUGGCUAGGCGAGGCCACUAGCCCUCAUUGGCCAGUCGCUGGCCACCGGCCAAAAGAAGAAAAAAAGAAAAGAGAAAAAAUAAAGAAAAAUGGAUAAAAAUAAAAUAAAAAUAUUAAAAAAAUUAAAAGAAACAAAAAAAGAACACAAAUUUACCAAACGUGUUUCUGUUUAUUUUUUAUUCUCGGAACAAGUUCAAAAAUUGUUCCCUAGAGCAUAAAUAGUUUUUUCUAUUUCUGUUCCCUGGAACAAUUUUUUAAUAGAAACGUUACCAAAUGCGCCUAAAUUGACCAAUAAAAGAGCAGAGGACCUCGUUCAUAAGUCUCAUGAAGGUACUUUGAGCAUUAGAUAAUCUGAAUGGCAUAAUCAACCACUCAUAAAGGCCUCCCUUGGUCUUGAAAUCUAUCUUCUCGCUUUCUGAUUUAAUGAUAACCACUCCGCAAAUCUAUCUUUGAAAACACAAAAGAACCAUAUAAUUCGUCAAGCAUAUCAUCAAGUCUAGGUAUAGGGUACCUAUACUUAAUGGUGAUGUUGUUGAUGGCCUGGCUAUCAACACACAUUCGGUAUGUACCAUCCUUCUUAGGUACAAGUAGAGCUGGAACAGAACAUGGACUCAUGCUUUCUUGGACGUAUCCUUUGAGGAUAAGCUUAUCGACUUGUCUUUGCAACUCCUUUGUUUCCUCUCAAUUGCAUCAAUAAGCUGGCUUGUUUGGUAGCGGAGCAUAGGGGAUUAAAUCAAUUUGAUACUCAAUACCUCCUAUGGGAGGUAAUCCAGGUGGCAAAUCCUCUAGAAACACAUCUGCAAAUUCUUUCAACAAGCAAUGCAUUUUUGAAUGUAUGGGUCGCUCUAUCUCACUCUUUUUUCUCGACCACAAGCAAAGCAAAUACAUUCUUUUGUUUGCUAAUGGCUCUCUCAACCCGUGUCUCACUCAAGAACAGAUUUUCCUUACAAGUGUUUCCCUCCCCAGGUUCAUUAUUAUGUAUCGAAGAAGGAUUCAAAGGUAAAAUAGUAAUGUAUUUCUGUUCCUUAUGAAAAGAGUAUGUGCUUUUCCAACCAUCAUGCAUAGCUUGUAUAUCAAAUUGACACAGUCUACCCAAUAAUAAGGGGCAUGCCUCCAUAGGAAUCACAUCACAUACAACCUCAUCUCGAUAGUUCUUCCUAAUCGAAAAGGAUAUAAGAACGCGUUUGGUUACCUUGAGUUCGUUCCCUUGAUUGAGCCAUUGGAGCUUGUAUGGUUGAGGAUGUUUCAUUGUUGGAAGCUUCAACUUGUUGACAAGAGUUGUCGAAGCAAUAUUGGUGCAGCUCCCACCAUCGAUGAUCACCGAACACACCUUUCCGUUAAUAGUGCAACAAGUGUGAAAUAUAUUCUCCCUUUGCUCUUUAUCAGGAGAAACUUCAACAUGUAAUGCUCUUCGGAUGAUCAACAGCUCGCCAUCAUCGGCUUUCUCCACAACUUCUUCUUCCCGAUUAGAUUCAGAAAUAUUUUGAUCUUGAUUGCCCUCAGCCUCUUGAAGCGCCGAAUUGAUCUACUCAAUUUCUUGAAGAGUCAUAACUCUCCGAUUUGGACAAUUUGCUUGUAAAUGCCCAAAACCAUGGCACUUAAAGCAUUUUCUUGCAUCGUCUUCAAACUUCUUUUGGACUUCUUUGGAAGGCUCUGCAAUUUUUCGCUUGCCUUUGUCUUUUGUUGACGUACUCUUGCCCUUGCUUGAGGAAGCACCCUUAAAUUAGGAUGUCGCCUUUGUUCAUGUUCUGAAGGAAAACCUCUUGCUCUUCAAUUGUUUUUCGACUUUUAUGGCUAACUUGCAUACGUCUUCAAAGGACCAAUAAGGUUGAAGUUCAACCAUAUCAACAAUUUCUCAAUUCAUGCCACCAAGGAAACGAGCAAUGGUUUGCUCAGGAACUUCUGGAACUUCACUCCUCAUUUUGAGUUGUUCAAACUCACGAAUGUAUUCUUCAACACUCAUCCCUUGUUGUCUUUGGGAAUUCAAUUUGAGGAAGAGAUCUUGCUUAUAGUUGUCGGGCAAGAACCUCUUCUUCAUCAACUUCUUGAGUUUUUCCCAAGACUUGAUUCGGCCUUUUCCUUCCCUUGCUCGUUGAUGCUUUAGAUUCUCCCACCAUAGAGAAGCAUAUUUGGCCAGCUUUAGGACAACAACCUUACAUUUCUUCUCAUCCGAAUAGGACUUGAAGUCAAAAAUUCGUUCGAUUGUGUGUAGCCAAUCCACAAAGUCAUCGGAUUGAGAUUACCGUCAAAUUCAGGGAUCUCCACUUUAAUGUCUCUUUCAUCCUCCUUAUGCCUCCCUCUUCAUCUUCGUCUUCAAAUUGGGGAUUCAGAAUCACUAGAGUGCAGAAUCGUUCGGUUGUCUCCAGUGGACUCGGAAUCGCCAUCAGAAUUUUCACGAGAUUCAGAAUCAUCAUGUUGAUGCCGUUCAUUGGGACGUCUUGCUGGAUGUCCUUGUCUCGCCUUUUUCUUUAGAAGAAUGAGGACACACUCCAUUUGUUGCUGAAGAUUUUGGAUUGCAUGAUCUCGCCUUUUGUUGUGCACUUGCUCCAAGUCAAGCCUCUUGGAAUUUGAUCAUCCAUAAGGAAUUUGUAAUAGAAGAAAGAAAGGAAUCACUCAAAUGAGUUGAACCUUGAGCUUUGAUACCAAUCUUUUGAUGCAUGAUGGGGGUGAGUGAUUCAAGAAUGGAAAUUUUUCAGAGGGGAUUUUAUGGUUAAGUGUAUGGAGUAGUGUAUACGGUGAAGAAACAAAUGGGAAUAAGAAAAGAUAGAACGAUCUCCUCCCAAGGUAUAAAGGACACGCCACCAACCGAAGAAGAGGAUUGAAAUCUUCGAAGUUCACCACCAAGGCCUAAAGCUUCCACCAGCCAAGGAUAAAGGACUUCGGGAUAGGAGAAGCUCACCACUAAGGCCUAAAGAUUCCACCGGCCAAGGAUAAAGGGCUUCUUGGCUCACCACCAAGGAGUGAUCUACGCUCUAAGGAAAAGAAACCGAAAGGAGUUAUCCACUCUCCGAAGAUGUUCACUCAAGCAGAGGAAAUCUCACUAUUUUCAUUCAUAAAAUUCGUAUCUCCUCUACAUUGGAUAGUUUUCCCUAUUUAUAGGAGGAUUUUAGCCUUAGGAAAUAUUAAAAAUAAACUUUAAUGACCUAGGAACUUAAACGUUCGACUCUUGAGCUACAUAAAAAUAAAAACACCUAGGAACUUAAUAAAAUCCUUUUUUAACAUGAGAACUAAAUGCCUUUAAUCUUUGACCUUCCGCGUUCUCGAACCGUUAGCUUUCCGUAUUCUUGAACUUUUGGCUUUCCAUAUUCUUGAACCGCAUUCACAAACCUUUAGCCUUCCUAAAAUUCGAGCUCCUCUCUUGACCAGAAAAUAAUCCUCUUGAAACUUCAUCAAUUGGUCAUACAAGACAUCUAAAAUGGCCUCCCAUUGAUAGCUAUCAAUAUACCACAAAGUACCGAUAAGUAAUUAACAUUAUUCAUUCAAAAUGAUCCAUCGAAACAAAUAAUGCCCAACUUCUUUAUUGGUUUGGAUAAGCAUCGAUGGUUUUGAAUUGGUUGAUAGAGCUACGUUGGAUGCUCCUGCAUCAAUGAUUUCCCCCCCUGGGCAAUGAUGUUAGUUUUAUUAGUCUAUCUACUUAAUCAAAGUAUUAAUUGAAAUGUUAGGCCUAAUAGGAAUAUUUAGAUUAGAUGAUACUCAUGGAGCCAUUAACCUAACAUUUUUCAACAUUUAGCAAUUGAUUGGCCUGUUGACCAAUAUGAUUUGCAAAGUUAUUAUUACCAAUUUGGUUAUUUUGACCAACAUUAGCCUUAAAAAAUGGAGAGGAAUUAGAAUCGUACCCUAUUACCACUGGAUUUGUUUAUAGUGGUUGGUUGAACAAUCUUAUCCUCAAUAUGGCGUUGUACACAAUGAAUGGUUAUGUUAUUCUAAUGCUCCUCGAAAAUUCUUGUCAUGGUUGACACCAUGUUGAAAUUUAGAGCAACGUCUCUUCACUACUCUUUAGUGUGUUGUAUCAUAAGAUCAACUUCCUCAUGUCAAUUAUCUUCUACCGCUCUCCCAACAGUUGAAGUAUUAGAUUCGCCGCCAUCUCAUAACCAGUUUGUGGUAAUGGUUUAUUGCUCAACAUCAUGAGAAUUUUAUUGAUUUUUGGUCCUUGCCAUCAUAAUCUCCUUGAAUGCAUAAAAUGUGUGACAUCCUGAAAUUCGACCACAUCUCAAAUAUAUGAAAUGGAUGUUUUGUUGACACGCCUAUGGUCAUUUUACUCGGAGCUGGCCCCUCACAAGUUAAUUAAUCUAUUAGGUAAAGCCGUUAAGGGAUUAAACGCGACAUACUAGAGAAUCCGAUCAGAAAUCGACUGCUCGACCAUAAUAAUUGGCAAGGAUCAAUACGACACCGUUGUAAUCGAAUUAUGAUCGGAUAUAAGUCGAUUUGAUGGAAUUGCAUAGUUAAAUUGCGGGUGGUUCCGCAUAAUUGCGAAAUUCGUGUCGAAUGGCACUAACCCGAUUUUCUAUCGAUAUUAUACUCGGAACAUGUAAUUGAAAUCUCACGAUUUUUAUGACAAUUGAGAUUUGUUUACAAUUCAGAGAUGUAUGAACGUGGAUCGAAAAUUAUCGACCACAGGUUGAAUGCGCAAAAAUCCCUAAAAGCUACCCGAUAAGUUAGGUCGUACUAAAUCACAUUCGGUCGAUUUUAACCACAAAAUCGAAUUCGCUUUCGGGAUUUGGACGUUUGACCAUGUCACGAUUCAUUUAUAGGACGUCAUCUCAUCUUUCGAGAAAUUUCGUCGAGUCCGAAAUUUUGCAGAAAAAUCAAUUUCGGACAAAAAGGAAAAAAAGAAUGGAAAUUCGGAUGGGAAGAGGAGUGUGCUAUUUGGUUGCCUAAAAUGAUUUAAUUUUGAAGAAAUGAAGCUAAUUCUCCAUUGGUUGGCCAAUUGAAUUAUUUGGAUGAAGACUUUAGAGGCUUAGGUUAUGAGUGGCUUGAUAUUUCUCCAGGUCCCUCAUUGGCUACCAAUUUGACUUGUUGGUUUCCCUCCCUCUUCCUUCUCUCUCUCCUCCUCCCUCUCAUGCGCACAACCCCCUUAAUCGACUCCCCUCUCUUCUGCCAUUUCUCCACUCCAGCCUCUUCUUCUUCUUCAUUUUCCCUCUUCCUUUGCUCCACCGUAGCCCACAAUUCCAGCACCAUUCACACCUAGCAGCUCUUGUCCAUCACCACCAUCUAGCAUCCCAUGUUGCCACAACCAGCCAGCCACCACCAUAACACCAUCACCACCUUUAGCUCCUUAGCCAUGUCGUCCAAUCAGCCCUCGCAUCCAACCCACACUGCUCAUCCACCCAACUGUUGAACAGCCAACAACUGCCCAGCUCUAGUUCAGCGCAGCCUGUCUAACCAUCCGCCAACUCCUCCGGCCACCACCAGCAGCCCUGACCAGCCUUCCACAGAACCAAGACUAGCCCCCCCCCCCAACCAUGAACCCUCCUUGCCAUUUCAGCCGCCGUUUGAGCUUUGUUGGAGAUGUGGUAAUCUCGGGUUCUCAUUACCAUCCCGUUGCCGUUACUGUGAGCCCACCGCCGUCCUAAUCUGGUGAGUUAACUCCAUAAUCCUUGAUUAAGUUGUUAAUUACGCUUAAAUGAUUAGAUUAGUGUUAAUUAGGAUUAGUAGUUAAUCCUAGGUUAGUGUAACUAGCUUAGUUAGUGUACUUAGAUUGGUUAGGUUAGGUUAGUUUACUUGGGUUAGUUAGUUAACCAUGGUUAGAUUAAUUAAUCAUGGUUAAGUUAAUUAAGUUGGAUUUACUUAAUUAAUCGUAAUUUAUUUAAUUAAUCAUAAUUAGCGUAAUUAGUAACGGAUAAGCCGCCUCGUGAAAUUUUAUGCUUAUUCUCAUGGAUGAAUUUAUACAUGAAUUUGAUGGCUUAUAUGUGCAAUUGAUUGCUUGAUGGUAGCUAUUGAUUGUUAUUGCAAAACUUGAUUUUAUGGGCAUUUAAAUUAUAAAAAAAAAAAAUAUCAGGUGUUGGUUUUUUACGCCAAUUUUUAUAUACUAUAUAAAAUCAUGGAAUUUAAAAGUGGGAGCGUACUAUGUUUAAUGGCUCGAUUUAAAUACAUGACCAUGCAUGGUUAUUUUUACCGAGAAUUUUUAAUACGAAGAAAAGUGGCCAAGUUCAUUAUUUAAAGACGAGAUAUUUGAACGCAAAGUAUAGUAUUCUUGGCCAAGUAUGUGCUCGUGUAGUCACUCUCAUAACCCAUCACUCGAUGAGAGUCAAGGGAGCGAUGCCUGAUUAAGUUCAAAUGCCCUACAUCAACGGAUGCCGGUCAUGGUGGAGGCUGGGCUAAUGCUCCUUUAUGGAAUGCCGUUUAGGUGUGUAAUGUUGAACGUUGCUAUGCUUGACAGAGUGGGACGAUACCGAUUACGCCGGAUGACCGUCGACUAUUGAGGUGGCCAUGGCCAAUGGGUCAUAAUAACUAGAACACGCCUAAAUGGUUGUGAUAGUUGUGCUUGAUUAUGGGACAAAAUUGUAGGCACAGUAUGGGACGUGUCAUAACAAUUUUGUUUUAUAAUUGAGACCCAUGUGAAUGUUUGAAGAGUGAAACAUGUGUUCCGGUUAUUAAAUUACACUUACUACAUUGAUAUUAACCUAUGUGAUGCACUAAUAUGCAGCGAUGCGCCAAGACGAUGUGAGUUUUGUGUAGUGUGUGUUUAGGACCGCCUUCGAGAUGAAUUGGUGUCCUAAUUGAGGUUUAGGGUUUUGACUCACUCAGAUUUAUCUCACCCUAUCGUGGUUAAAUAUUUUCAAGUCCUUAGUAUGGAGCACCAUCUCGUCCAUUUUGGGGUUCCGUGGGAGAUGGACUACGAGCCCUCCCACUUUCCUAUUCCUGGGACAACCCAAACCUGUGAGUUAGUGGUGACCAUGAUUUAGGUCGAUGAGGGCCUCCCUCACUUGGUGCCUCAUCACUUCAAAGCAUGGUUCAUCAAUGAGCGUAACGGGGCUCGGGGGGUCCCUUGUAGGGUUUUGACGGCCCACUUGCUAGGACAGAGGUUGGGGAGGUAGCUCACCCCAUGGACAUCGACAUCCUAGAUAGUGUCGUGGAGAAUUCGGAGCCCGAGGUGGAAGGGUCAGGAGUGUAGGUGGCCUAGUAGUUUUUUGUUGAAUCAGACUUAUGUAUAUAAACUUGUAGGGCUAACUUGGUAUGUUUACAAAGUGUGGUUUGUGAAAAAGCGUUAGUAUGUUUUACUAUCCCUAUGUUUGAUGGUUGGCCGAGUGUUUAUUUAAUUCUCUUCCGCAUGUGCUUAAUUGAAAGAUAAAAAGAAUGGGUUAGCAACGCAUCUUGGGACAUCACAUUUUUAAUCGACCGCCAAGGGAUGUGCGCAUGCCUGGGGUUCGAGGCAUGACAUCCCUGCCCGAAAUGGUAUCAAAGCUGGUCAGUGUUUGGAGUAAUAAGAUGUGAUGGGUCUUGAGAUAGUUAGUAGGAAAUACAUUUUCCUUACGCCAAUGCUUGUGAUUGAUUGAUUGUUUUGUGUAGGUUCAUCAGAAUUCUAAUUUUGUGUUAGAAUUGGAAAGCGGGUUCUAUAAAGAUUCUAUAAUAUGAGCGAUCCUGAUUAGAGGAAUCCUUGAAAGAGGGCAAUUUCAACUAUUACUCAAGGAAGGAUGCCGACUAGGAUUGGUGCAUGAGGUAGAGCGCCAGCUCAAGCUAACGCGAGGAAAAGAGUACCGCCUCAAGCUAGUACUGGUGUAGGAGCACCGGGCAAUCCCAGGUUGCAUGGGAUCGUUCAGGCGCUAGAGACUCUAGAAAAUAUGAUCAGUCAACAGGCUCAAAAUCAAGCUGUUGCUACCAUCAAUGCCGUUGCCGAUGUUGCCGCCACACCUACUGAAGUUCCACCUAGAAAUGGGAAUGGUGAGCGACUAAUGCAUAAGUUGGUGAAACAGUUCCUAAAGCUGAAACUACCAAGGUUUACGGGAGCAGGCGAUCCUGAGGCUACAACCCUCUGGAUUAGAGAAGGUCUUUGCACUGCUGAGGUGCUCUAAGGAAGACAAGGUAGUCCUUUCGGUCUUCCAGUUGCAAGGGAAUGCAAGCACUUGGUGGGAAGCCACCAGAGGAAGAGUGUUUCCCGAGGGUACGGUUUCGAAGUAGAAUGCCUUCGUGGAAGUCUUUUAUGGGAAGUACUUUUCUGAUUGCACCCGAGAGUAGAAGAUGGCAGAAUUUCAGCGUCUUUGUCAGGGCCUAAUGUCAGUGGACCAAUAUGAGGCGAAGUCGCAGAGCUGUCUAAGUACGCACCAAAGCUUAUCAAAGACCCAGUAGACAGAGGAGGAGGUCNNNNNNNNNNNNNNNNNNNNNNNNNNNNNNNNNNNNNNNNNNNNNNNNNNNNNNNNNNNNNNNNNNNNNNNNNNNNNNNNNNNNNNNNNNNNNNNNNNNNAGAGAUGGACUUAGACUAGAGUUAAGGAUCUGCUGGUACUGCUGAAUCUUAAGGAUUAUAAUGAUUUGUAUGAAAGGACCUAAUUGAUCGAGAGGAAUCUGAACGAAUGAGCCGCUGCAUUUGGGUCACGGUUCAAGCCCAACAGAGACAACAAUAGGUUCGGGAAAAGGCUGAUGACAAGAGGUAGGUAUGCCAUUCCUCCAACCGAAAAGGUGGAAUAGGAAAGUCAGCACCCAAAUCAAAUGGCGUGUGCCAUUUCUGCGGGAGAAGACAUGGAUCGGCUCUGUGUUUCACUAAGAUGAGAGCUUAUUUUUUAUCUGGCCAACAUGGCCACCAGAUCAAGGAUUGUCCGCGUAGGCCUGUGGGAGCACAGGCGCCACUACCACAGAUGGGACAACCCAAGGGAGUACAUCGCAGAACACAUAGCAAGGUGUUUUGAACAAGCCUCUGAUGCAAGAAAGGGUGUAUGCUGUCACCCUACGAAAGGUGGUGGACUCAGAGGAUGUGGUUACAGGUACAGUUUUGUUGAAUGACCAUGCUGCUUAUGCUUUAUUUGACAUUGGAGCCACACAUUCAUUUAUUGUUGAGCAGUUUGUUAAGUUAGUAGGAUUGAGUCUAGAAUUGUUAGGGAUAGCCAUUAGCAUAUCUACCCUGUUAAAGGAUAAAGUGUUGUCUACGAUAGGGUGUUCUGGUUGCAAGUUAGUGAUUGGCGAGCGAGAGGAAAUGAUAGAUUUGAUUGUGCUGGCCAUGUUUGACUUUGAUGUAAUUAUUGAUAUGUAUUGGCUCACCAAGCAACAAGCUACUCUAGACUAUUAUCAUAAAAUGAUUUAGUUUAACCCGUUAGCGGGUAAAAGUUUCGAGUUUAUUGGAAGUCGAUGAGGACUCUCGAUUACCUUAAUCUCAUCGCUUGAGGCAACCUGAUUACUGGAUGUGGGUUACCAAGGUUAUUUAGCAACUGUCGUUGAUAUGAUAGUUGAGGAGCCGAAGAUGGAGAACAUCGAUGUGGUUUGGGAAUUUUAUAACGUGUUUCCUGAGGAAUUACCCAGUCUGCCCCCAGAAAGGGAGAUCGAGUUCAUGACUGAGUUGGCACCUGAGACAGAGCCAAUUUCUAAGGCUCCUUACCGUAUAGCGUUGUCAAAAUUGUAGGAGUUGUUAGACAAAGGAUUUAUACGUCCUAGUGCAUCGCCUUAGGGAACACCAGUUUUGUUCAUGAGGAAGAAAGAUGGUUCAUUGUGCUUUUGUAUCGACUAUCGGCAACUCAAUCAGGUGACAAUCAAGAAUAAGUAUCUGUUGCCAAGGAUUGACGACUUGUUUGACUAGCUACAGGGAGCGUCGAUAUUUUCCAAGAUCGACCUGAGGACAAGUUACCAUCAACUGAGAAUUAAGAAGGAAGACAUAUCAAAUAUGGCUUUUUGUAUGCGUUACGGCCAUUAUGAAUUCACUGUAAUGCUGUUCGGUAUAACCAACGCCCUAGCUACUUUUAUAGAUAAGAUGAAUCGAGUAUUCAAGGAGUAUUUGGAUUAAUUCGUGAUUGUGUUUAUCGACGACAUCUUAGUGUACUCAAGAAGUCCAGAAGAGCAAAAACGAUAUUUAAGAACAGUGCUUCAAACCCUACAAGAACACAGACUGUACGCCAAGUUUAGUAAGUACGAGUUUUGACUAACUCGUGUAGCUUUCUUAGGUCACAUGAUUUCUGGUGAAGGAAUUUUCGUGGACUCGACAAAGAUUGAAGCCGUGAUAAACUGGCUGAAACCAACGGUAGUGACAGAGAUCCGAAGUUUCUUGGGAUUGGCAAGCUAUUAUAGACAGUUCGUGGAAAUAUUUUCUGCAAUAGCCAUGCCUCUAACUCAAUUGUUGAAGAAGGAAGAGAAGUUCACAUGGAUGGACAAGUGUGAGUGUAGUUUCCAAGAGCUUAAACAGAAACUGACUACUACAAACAUGCUGACGAUUUCGUCUAGUCUUAGAGGAUAUGAGAUCUAUAGUGAUUCGUCGUACAAAGGACUGGGUUGCGUUUUAAUGCAACAUGGGAGAGUUGUUACAUACGCAUCCCAUCAACUGAGGUCUCACAAGUUGAAUUAUCCAACGCAUGACUUAAAACUCACAGCAAUCAUUUUUGCUUUGAAGAUUUAGAGACAUUACCUAUGUAGAGAAAUGUUCCAAAUCUUUGCGGACCAUUAGAGCCUAAAGUAUUUAUUCUCUAAAAAAGAGUUGAACAUGAGACAACGUCGUUGGAUGGAGCUUCUCAAGGACUACGACUGUGACAUUUUGUAUCAUUCCAAAAAAGCCAAUAAGGUCGCGGAUGUGUUAAGUCGGAAGUCUUUGAUUAUGCAGAUGAUGGUCUAGGAGUGGAUCCUACUCAAAGGAGUUCGAGAUUCUGAUUUCAAAUUUGAGGUAGGCCACCUUUGAAGUCUCAUGGCCACCCUCAUAAUUGAAUCAAAAGUGUGGAUAAAGAUUAAGACGUUGCAAUUGACAGACCCAGAUAUCCAAAAAAUUAUGCAAGAAGAUGCGGAAAAGAGGAAGGUUGACUUUCAAGUUACCGAGGACGGAACACUAAAGUUUCAUGGGCAAUUAUGUGUACCUAAUAAUGCGGAGCUUAACGAGGAGAUCUUGUCAGAAGCUCAUUGUAGUAGUUACGACAUUCAUCCAGGCAAUACGAAGAUGUAUCAGAACUUGUGUCAGCAUUAUUGGUGGAUCAGUAUGAAGACAGAUAUCACCAAACAUGUCGCCAAGUUUCUGACGUACCAGCAAGUAAAAGUACAGCAUUACAAGCCUGAAGGACUUUUGCAACCUCUCGAAAUUCCUGAGUGGAAGUGGAAACAUAUCACAAUGGUCUUUGUGAUGGGAUUUCUAAGGAGUCAAUGAGGUAACGAUUCUAUAUGGGCUGUAGUCGACAUAUUGACAAAAUUUGCUCAUUUUAUCACCGUACAAAAGGACUUUGCAUUGGACAGAUAUGUUGAAUUGUACGUGCGACAGAUAGUUCGUCUCCAUAGAGUGCUGGUAAUGAUCACGUCAGAUUGAGGCCUGAAGUUCAUGGUUUUUGGAAAAGUUUACAAACUGCCUUGGGAAUGAAGCUACAGUAUAGCAUGGCCUAUCAUCCACAGACAGAUGGCCAGUCUAAGAGGACGAUUCAUACCCUCGAGGACAUGCUACAAGCUUGUGUAUUAGACUUCAAAGGAAGUUAGGAGGAAUAGCUUCAUUUAGUUGAGUUCGUCUACAACAACAGUUAUCAGCAGAGCAUCAAGAUGACACCGUUUAAAGCGUUGUAUGGCAAAGUCUGCAAAACUCUUGUUUGUUGGGACAAAGUUAAAGAACAUAAGAUUACGAGUCCUGAGUUGGUUUAAUAGUCAAUCGACACCAUCAAAGCUAUUCGAGAAAGACUCAAGACCACUUAGAGUCACUAGAAAAGUUGUGCAAAUUCGCAGCGAAGACCAUUGGAGUUCCAAGUUGGUGAACGCAUAUUCCUCAAAGUGUCACCGAUGAGGGGUAUUUCGUGUUUUGGCAAGAAAGGGAAGUUAAGUCCGAGGUAUGUCGGUCUUUUCGAGAUUUUAAAGCAAAUCAGGACUUUGACGUAUCACCUUGCAUUGCCGUCAAGGCUUACUCAAGUGCACGAUGUUUUCCACGUGUCGAUGUUGAGAAAGUACGAGCUUGACCCGACCCAUGUGUUGAAUUUUGACACGCCUAUGGUCAUUUUACUCAAAGCUGGCCCCUUACGAGUUAACUAAUUUAUUAGAUGAGGAUGUUAAAGAAUAUAAACGCAACAAACUAGAGAAUUCGAUCAGAAAUUGAUUGCUCGACCAUAAUAAUUGGCAAGGGUCAAUACGAUACCAUUAUAAUUAAAUUGUGAUCAGAUAUAAGUCGAUUCAAUGGAAUUGCUUAGUCGAAUUGUGGGUAGUUCCGCAUGAUUGCGAAAUUCACAUCGAACGGCACUAACCAUAUUUUCUGUCAAUAAUAUACUCGAGACACGUAAUUGAAACUUUGCAAUUUUUAUGACAACCGAGAGUCAUCUACAAUUCGGAGAUGUACAAACAUAGAUAAAAAAUUAUUGACUACGGGUCGAACAUGCAAAAAUCCCUAAAAGCUACCUGAUAGGUUAAGUCGUACUAAAAUCACGUUCGGUCGAUUUUAACCACGAAUUGAAUUCAAUUUUAGGAUUUGGAUGUUUGAGCGUGUCACGAUUCAUUUAUAAGACGUCGUCUCAUCUUUCGGAGAAAUUUCGUUAAGUCUGGAAUUUUGCGGAAAAAUCAAUUUCGGACAAAAAGGAAAAAGGAAUGGAAAUUCGGAUAGGAAGAGGAGUGUGCUAUUUGGCUACCCAAAAUGGUUUAAUUUUGAAGAAAUGAAGCUAAUUCUCCAUUAGUUGGCCAAUUGACUUAUUUAGAUGAAGACUUUAGAGGCUUAGGUCAUGAGUAGCUUGAUAUUUCUCAAGGUCCCUCAUUGGCUACCAAUUUGACUUGUUGGUUUCCCUCCCUCUUCCUUCUCUCUCUCCUCCUCUCUCUCAUGCACACAACCCCCUUAGCUAACUCCCCUCUCUUCUACCAUUUCUCCACCCUAGCUUCUUCUUCUUCAUUUUCCCUCUUCCCUUGCUCCACCACAGCCCACAAUUCCAGCACCAUUCACGCCUAGUAGCUCCUUUCCACCACCACCAUCUAACAUCCCACGUUGCCACAGCCAGCCACCGCCAUAACACCAGCACCACCUUCAACUCCUCAGCUGCGCCGUCUAGUCAGCCCCUGCAUCCAACCCACCCCACUCAUCUGCCCAACCACCAAGCAGCCAGCAACCGUCCACCUCCAGUUCGGCCCAGCCUGUCCAACCGUCCACCAACUCCUCUAGUCACUAGCAGCAACUGUGGCCACCACCAGUAGCCCCGAUCAGCCUUCCACAAAACUGAGACCAACCCCCAAGCCGUGAGCCCUACUUACCGUUUCAGCUGCUGUUUGAGCUCCUUUGGAGAUAUGGUAGUCUCGAGUUCUCACCACCAUUGCGUUGCCGUCGCCGUGAGCCCGCCGCGGUCCUAAUCCAAUGAGUUAACUCCAUAAUCCUUAAUUAGGUUGUUAAUUACGUUUAAAUGGUUAGAUUAGUGUUAAUUAGGAUUAGUAGUUAAACCUAGGUUAGUGUAACUAGCUUAGUUAGUGUAAUUAGAUUGGUUAGGUUAGUUAGUUUAGUUAGGUUAGUCUACUAUAGUUAGGUUAGUUUACUUGGGUUAGUUAGUUAACUAUGGUUAGGUUAGUUAACAAUGGUUAGAUUAAUUAAUUCAUGGUUAAGUUAAUUAAGUUGGAUUUACUUAAUUAAUCGUAAUUUAUUUAAUUAAUCAUAAUUAGCGUAAUUAGUGACGGAUUAGCUGUUUUGUGAAAUUUUAUGCUCAUUCUCAUAGAUGAAUUUAUACGUGAAUUUGAUGGUUUAUAUGUGCAAUUGAUUGUUUGAUGGUAGCUAUCAAUUAUUAUUGCAAAACUCAAUUAUAUGAGCAUUUAAAUAAAUAAAUAAAAUACCAAGUGUUGGUUUUUUAUGCCAAUUUUUAUAUAAUAUAUAAAAUCGUGGAAUUUAAAAAUUGGAGCGUACUAUGUUUAAUGGUUCGAUUUAAAUACGUGACCACACAUGAUUAUUCUACCCGGAAUUUUUAAUACGAAGAAAAGUGGCCAAGUUCAUUAUUUAAAGACGAGGUAUUUGAACAAAAAGCACGCUGUUCUUGGCCAAGUAUGUGCUCGUGUGGUCACUAUCAUAACCCGUCACCUAACGAGAGUUGGGGGGGGGGGGGGGGGAUACCUGAUUAAGUUCAAAUGACCCACGUCAACGGAUGCCAGUCGCGGUGAAAGCCGAGCCGAUGCUCCUUUAUGGAAUGUCGUUUAAACAUGUAAUGCUAGACAUUGAUGUGCCCGAUGAAGCGGGACAACGCCUGGUUACGUCAAAUGAUCGCCAACUGUUGAGUUGGCCGUGACCAAUAGGUUGUAAUAACUGGAACAUGCCUGAAUGGUUGUGAUAGUUGCACUUGAUUAUGGGAUAAAGUUGUGUGGCACGGUAUGGGACGUGUCAUAACAGUUUUCUCUUAUAAUUGGGACCCAUGUGAAUGUUUGAAGAGUGAAACAUGUGUUCUGGUUAUUAAAUUGCGCUACAUUGAUAUUAGCCUAUGUGAUGUACUAAUAUGCAGGGACGCACCGAGACGAGGUGAGUUUUGUGUGGUGCGUGUUUAGGAUCGCCUUUUCCUAAUUGGGGUUUAGGGUUUUGACUCACUGAAAUUUAUCUCACCCCGUCGUAGUUAAAUAUUUUCAGGUCUUAAUAUGGAACACCAUCCCAUUUGUUUUGGGGUUCCAUGGGAGAUGGACUACGAGCCCUCCUACUUCCCUAUUCCUAGCACCACCCAGACUCGUGAGUUAGUGGUGACCACGAUUUGGGUCGAUGAGGGCCUCCCUUACUUGGUGCCUCAUCGCUUCAAAGCGUGGUUCAUCAACGAGCGUAAUGGGGCUCAGGAGGGUCUAUUGCAGAGUUUUGAUGGAUCACCUACUAGGACGGAGAUUGGGGAGAUAGCUCACCCCAUGGACAUCGACAUCACAGAUGGUGUCGUGGAGAAUCUGGAGCCCGAGGCAGAAGGAUCCAAAGCGUAGGUGGCCUAGUAGUUUCUUGUUGAAUCAGACUUAUGUAUAUAAACUUGUAGGGCUAACUUGGUAUGUUUAUAAAGUGUGGUUUGUGAAAAAGCGCCAGCAUGUUUUACUAUCCCUAUGUUUGAUGGUUGGCCGAGUGUUUAUUUAAUUUGCUUCCGCAUGUACUUUAUUGAAAGAUAAAAAGAAUGGGUCGGCGACACGUUUUGGGAUGUCGCAUUUUUAAUCAACCGCCAAGGGAUGUGCGUGUGCCCGGGGUUCGGGGCAUGACAAAAUGUGUAUCGCCAAGCAUGCCAAAAAAGAUAUUUCGUUGAAAAAUGUAAAAAAUAUAUAUCUUCCAGAGUAUUAACUUAUUUGAUGAGUAAAUUGACAUAGAAUAUGAAGGGUCCCUUAUUGAUUUUAGAUAGGAAAGUAAAUUACAAGAAAUUGAAAGGUACAAACAUUAGGGGCAAUCAUGUCUAGCCAUGUAAAUUGCGGGAAAAAAAAACAAAUAAAAAAAUAAUUGUGCGAGGACAUUGAGUUCUUGGAUUGAUUGAGGGGUUUACAAAGAGAACGGUGUGGUUUUUUGUAACCCACAAUUGACGGUUGCAAAAGGUUAUUGAAUUUUAAAAAGAUAACUUUCUAAUCCUAUAUUCAUUAUAAAUAGCUUCCUAAUCCUAUGUGUGGUAACAAAAAGUUACAUUAUCUAUAAUUUCUUAAUAUCUAUUAACAUUUAUUUAAAAGAAGUCACAAAUUCGAAAUUACUGCUACUAGACAGUUUACAUGUUAGUGUGGAUGAGUUCAUCCUUAAAGAAGGUAACCGAUGUUCGCUAUCUAUAGCUUCCUUGGCUAGUUAUCUAUGCUUUUCGAGUUGUCGACUAUUCUUUGUAGUGAUGACUUAUGUUGUUCACCAAACUAUGCUGUUAUCAACUAAGUCUUUACUUAUCAAUCAUAACUAAAAGUUGGUCAUUUUUUUUAUGUCAACAGCUCUUGCAUCACCUAAACAGUUAAACUAUGUAGUUUUGAUUCCUAUUAUGUUGAUAACAUCCAUAUUUUAUACCCAAAAAAGUAGACUUCAUCUCAUACAAGAGAGAAAUUUACGUACUUUAGACUUCAUCUCACACGAGAGAAACUUACAUAUUUUGUGACUAAUGUAGCAAAUGCAAUUUUCAUUAAUUGAAAAAGAAUUACGUUAGCUGUCAUUGUAUUUAGCAAUGACAGUCCAGCCUACUCCUUAUUCCAUGAUCAACUAUAAAAUGGUGAGCAAAUUAACCACCAUCACUGUUGCUUGAUUUAGACUCAGAUUUUAGUCAAGACAGGAACAGUUCAAAGUCAAGAGAAGGCCCACCCUCGUAUAUAUUAAAAAAAAUUAUAAGAACAUCAAAUGCAUCUAUUGCCUAUAAAUUUGCCAAGAUUGCACCAUAGUGCUUACCCCUUCAAAAAAACAGACGACGAAGAAAGGAGAGAGAAUACAAUAUUAUACGCAUUAAAUCUAAAACAAUUGGUGCUUCUUCGGUCCGCAGUUUUAAGAAAAGGAAAAAUCCCAUUAAAAAAAUCUUAAUAUUUUUCCACGAGACGCUAAGGCCCUGUUUGGUAACCAUCCAAACAUGGCCAAAUUCUGAUUCUUUGUUCCCAGAAUCAGUUUCGGCCUAGAAUCGCGUUUGGUAAAAUUUUUGUUCCCGGGAACAGAUUGGGAAUAGAAUCAAGAACAAAAAAAAAGUUGAUUCUUGUUCCGGGAACGAAUUUGAGAAUCAAAAUCAAGAAAUUUUCUUCUUCCCUUCGGCCAUCUCGCGACCACCGUCCACCACCGCCCGCCCCCGUCCGCCGUCCGCCGCCGCCGUCCGGCGAGCUCACCGGAGGCAAGCCCAGCCACCUGCGAGGCUCGGCCUCCCUAGAUCGGGCGAGGCCGAGCCUCGCCGGUGGCCAGGCAGGCCUCGCCAGGGCUAGGCGAGGCCUCGCCGGGGCCGGGCGAGGCCCUCCUCGCCGUGGCUGGGCAGGGGCUGGUCAAGCCUCGCGACGCCCAGCCCCACCGGUGGCCAAGUGAGGCUCGCCUAGCCACCGGCGAGGCUCGCCCAGCCCCGCCGGUGGCCUGGCAGGCCUCACCCAACCUCAACGAGGCCAGCCUGGCCAUCGGCGGGGCUCGGCCUCGCCAGAUCUGGCGAGGCCAAGCUUCGGCGGGGCUAGGCGAGCCUCGCCCAGCUGCCAGCGAGGCUCGGCCGACGAGGACCGGCCUCGCCGAGGGCCGGCGACGCUUCGGUGAGGUCGCCGGCCAGAAGAAGAAGAAGAAAAUGAGAAAAAGAAAAGAAAAAAGGAAAAAAAAAAAGGAAAAAAGUAAAAAGAUUAUUUAAAAAUUAAAAGAAAUAGAUUUGGAACAGAAUUAAUGAACACGGUACCAAACGCAAUUCUAUUCCAGAAUAAAAAAAUUUGGACAGUUACCAAAUGGCCUAAAAUGCUUAGAAUCAAUUCCCGGGAACAGAAUAAAAAAGAAUCAGUUCUGAUCAAAAUCUACUCCCGGGAACAGAAUCGUUACCAAACGCGCCCUAAUACUCAAUUUUUCUCACCUUAUCAAUUAUCUCCAAACUUGUGUCAGUAAACCAAAAGUACCAUUCUUCACAAUUUCAUUCAUCAUGAACAAAACUACAACGGAUUCUUAACAUUCAUUAGUGAGAUGAAAAAAAAAAUGGCAUAUAGAUGAAUUACGAGAAAAAGUUAGAAUUUUUAGUAAGAUAAUCUAUUAGGAAAAGUAACAUCUCAAGAUUGUUCUCUUUUUUUUCGGUCACUAGCGUCACAUAACCUAUUUUCAAUUGCCUACGUGUGUUUGAAAAAGUUGCUGCCGGAUGCCCCAAAUUUCUGGUCUAGGGAGUGGGGAUAGGGUAAAAUUAUGUUUAUACACCACGUGCUUUAAAACGGGUUUUAUUAAUAACUUGAUAAUGACUUCGAUAAUAACUGUUUACCGAUUAAUCAUGACCUAAGAUGUUCAACUACCUUUCCUUCGGUUCUCUGUCAACAAUAUUUAAAGAUCACCAUUUGUCGCCCAAUAAUUUCUCUAUAAAACCCAAUCAUCACGCAAGAAACUACUUUGGAGAAGUGGUGCUGGGAAUUUUGCAUCAUGAUGACGAUGGUUCCUAGGCUUAUGACGCUUACUAGUCGAGGAUGACGUAAAAUCUCCACCAAAUUAUGGACAGGUGUAUUAGAUACUGAAAAAGCCAAAUGUAUAAACCCCAUUAGAUUAAACUACUUUAGGAUUAUUUAUAGGUGAUGAAUGGAACCAGAAUUUAUUUUCAGUCGAAAUUAAAUAUUUUAUUUAAUCUCAAAAUGAUUUACGAGAUGUUCAAAACAAAGCAAAUCCCAAACAGUAAAGUAGAACAAUAAAGCACAAACACUCUCCCAUUAGAAAGGAUCUCUCAGCAUCAAAACAAAACGAAUAGCGGCCAAUCACCAAAUCUCGCAUCGUCAUCAAUAAUGAGCACACACCGUAAUUCCCUUCUUCAAUAGCUAAAAUUUGCCCGAUGGUUGGAGCACGCCUAAGUUCAGCGUCCUUAACAUCAUCGUCAUCCAAAGAUACAAAACUUAAACUCCCAGAUCUAAAUUUAGAUCGAGAGAUGUUGGGCAAGCACAAAAACACCUAUAAAGAAUUCCUAGAUCUCAAAUUAAUCGGAAAAGAAUAAUUUUCAGAUUUAAAUUUAAAUCCAGAGGUGAGAGAUUUCAAUACUUGAAGAAGUCAUAUAACCGCUUUCAGGAGGGUAGGAAGUCACCGAAUUCCUCCUCAAUUCUGUCGGACUUCUUGGUCAAAACCAGAAAUUCACCUAGAUUGAAUUUCCCCUGGAUUGGACCCACGUGAAUAGCCGUGACAAUACACAAAUCCCCUCAAUUCGUCUUCAAUGAAUAUAAUAUCCAGGGAAUUUUUACACUACUGUGAAAUCUACCUAUGUGCACCGAUGUCAAAUUUUUGGAACUUAGAUCCACAGUUUAGCCUCUUAAAACAAGCCUCGAAACUCAAACUCGUUAAAUACCACAUAUUUCAAAGUAUCAAGUAUUACUCCAACUUAAAUUUCAAAGAACAUAACUUCAUUACAUAAAAUGAGUAAAGUGCAUCUCCAUGUCAAAUGGUAACAUAAUUUUAAGACAUAAUAACAUCUAACAUAAAGGACAACAUAUUGCUUCCUCCCAUCCUUUCGCACUAUUGAAUGUGUAAAUUUUGUAAAGAAAAGAGAAAAAUAAAAACAUUAGAAUACUUAUGUAUUUUUUUCUUAAUUAUUAUAAGGAGCAUCCGGUAUCUUGUAUAAUUCUACAAAGGCCCUACACAAGGUACAUUAUAUUGGGUAUAGGGUGGAUACGACCCUAAACUUUAAAACAUACUCGAUAGUCAUUCUAUGCCAAAUUUUGAAAACUAGACCAUUACCACUGAAUUUUUAUGUAUGCCCCCUUUGGAACCUAUCCAAUCAUGCCAAUUCCACAAGUUCAACAAAUUCUCUUGCAAACUUUGUAACAUGUUGGGAAAUUAUCUCUUACGCCUAUUUUAUUACAUUGAGGAAACUAGAAAGUAACGCCAACAUUGAUUUUUGUAAAAUUUGGCAAGUUUCUACCAGUAGAACCGGUUAGGUCAGCAGUUAUUUUUGGGAGAAAAAAGCGGAAACCCAAAUUUCAUCAUCGUCCCAACACUUUUACUAUACUCUCGAUUGUCUUCACGAUCUUAAUGGAGUCAAUACGAAUAUAUUUUCAUUUGCAUGAAAAGAAAGGGAAACGCGUUUUCUUUUCAAGUGCUAAAUCCAGGACGUCAUCGAGUGAGAUAAUCCAAUGUUGACCUCCGUUGAAUUAACCGCUGCCCAGAGAUCACGUCUUUAGGUGAUCGGGGCAAGAAAAUUGAAACCCUAAUGGUGACGUAAGCAACUAUGACGCCCGCGAGACAUUAUAAUCACAUGCGUGAUUGUCUCCAUUUCCAAAACCUAAGUGCGAAUCCUCCCAAAGAUCUUAUGGCCUCUAAAGAAUCCAAACGCCUUCGUCACCUGCGCGAUGGACACGACGUAAGACCAACGCAAUCGCAUGACGUCACUCGAAAACUUGCUAUAAUUAAUAUAACCCAAGUUCAAUUCGGCAAAAUUAGUACAAGACCUUCCCCUAAGAUGCGCUAACGUAAGCUCGGAUGACGUCACUCCUGCAGCAGACUUUCAAGAACGAAUUUCGACAAAAAUAACUAACUGUGUGGGCCUGAACCUGAAAGCCAUCAAACCAGAUCAUCAUCCUCCAUGCACGCACUUCGGCUCUUUCGAUUGCAUCACCGUGAACAGUCUCUCGGCACGUUGAAAAUUUUCCGAAAGUCACAAGACCUUAUUAACAACUCUUCGAUCGCUUAUGUCAAUGUCAAACUUCGGAUCGGGCCCAAUGGAUUCCAAGCUCUCCCCCAAGCUUGCUAUAAAACUGGGGAGAGCGGUGGAGAGGUGGCUCGCUGAGCAUGGACGAAGACCCCAAGGGCAAGGCUAAAGAGAAAAUGGGAGGAGAAGGAGCGAGCGAAGUAAAGUACAGGGGCGUGAGGCGGAGGCCGUGGGGCAAGUAUGCAGCAGAGAUCCGCGACUCGACGAGGCAGGGGGCCCGCGUCUGGCUCGGCACUUUCAACACUGGAGAGGAGGCCGCGAGGGCGUACGACCGGGCCGCCUUCGCGUUGAGGGGCCCACUCGCAAUCCUCAAUUUCCCUGGCGAGUAUCCCUCAGCCAUUGGCGGGGGCGGUUCUUCGGUGGCGACAUCGCCAGCCACGUCAUCGGGAUCAGCACCAUCCACUGGCCUUGGCCGGGGCGGGGGGGACAGGCCGGAGCAGGGGAGGGAAGUCUUCGAGAUCGAGUGCCUUGGCGACGAGGUGUUGGAAGCUCUGCUUGAUUUCUCCGACAAAUCAAAAGAUAAGUGAACUUUGAGUAAAUCGAAUAAAUUAUGGAAUGUGGUCGAUGUAAAUAAAUCAUCAUGUUGGAACUCGGAUUACGCGGGGGCCCUGAAAUUUAGUUGUUGAAGGCGAUCUCAGCGAGAUCAGAAGCAGGCUCUGUUUUUCCAUUUUCUCAAGCAACUCUGAUGCUCUGUUUUUCUUCCUUUUUUCUUCUUCCCUCCUCCUAUCUGCUGCGGUCAACGGUUCUUACGCCGACUUGGCCUUUGACUUUCUGUACAUGAUGAUUUGGCAAAUCAGCGGUCGCACCAAAGAGAGGCUGCUGGUCGGUUUCUGUAUCUGAUGAGAAGGCUUCUGCAUAUAUUUUAACUUUCCUAACUUUCGACCAUCAGGAUUUGCCAAUUCGCGAGUUGAUUUUUUUGAAUGAACGGGAACCAAAGGUCAAACGAUCCGACUCAUCUCGACACGUUACUGGUUAGGAUGCAACAUCAAACUAUAUCUCAAAAGGCGUCGUCGUAGGAUCAAGCUUCUCUAGCUACUGCCGCUGUCAAUUUCGCAAUUAAUUAAGCAGAUUGGGCUGGGACAUUGACCCUAGUUAAAUAGGAAGAAAAAGGAAAAGACGGGUCGCGGUCAAGGCACGCGAAAUUGUAAAGGAGAAGGAGCGAAACCGCUUAGUAAAGACCGUCAGGUCUAGAUCAUGAACAAUUUUUCAAAGUUGUCGGCCGCCUUUUUCAUCAUGUCCUAUUCAAAAAAGGGAACCCCAAUCAUUCUGGAAUAUACGAAAGUUUAGUUUCAGCUUCAAAGCACCUAAAUCACUGAAAAUUAAGAAUAUAUAUAUAUAUAUCAAUUGCACCUAAAAAAAAAACUGCAAAAAGCUCAGCCUGGCGUUACAUCAACCUGUCCUCAAAUAUAGAGAAGCUCUUCCAGAAUAGAUUACUGGCAAACGAAUUCCGAAACUGUUUCUAGGAAUUUAGCGUUAGAGAACUAAGAUAUAUUGCAACAGUUCAUUGAAAUGAGAUACCUUGAGCAUCCCAGAAAUCAGUGUUUGCAUGAAUACUACUGCUUAAAUCGGGUGCAAGCACCCAGAGAAGUACUUCAGAAAGAUAGAGGUAUGAUACGAGCCAUCUGCUAGAAGUAAUAUUGAUCGAAGUCAUCAAACAAACUCAAUGUUGCAUUGUCAUAUCAAGCUCCUGCUGUGAAAAUGCAGUCUUGAAGAUUGCCAAAUGUAAUUUAUCGAAGCAAGUGCCAUCUCUUUCCUCAAGUGAAAGCUCUCAUCGAUGAAGACGAUCAAAAACAAGAAACAAAAGAAUUUCUUACCAAAUAGACUACCUGCAUUUACCCUAUAUGUCGCUGUGCGACUUCAGUAGUUCCUCCAAUAACUUAUCGUCCAGAUACUCGAACUGGAUCACAUCUCUGGAUGGCUCGGCAGGAGCUGACAUAGUGGAUGAUGAUGAACCUGCUGAAGAGAAUGGCGACGAUGGUAGUGACAGGGACGUGGAGAAAGAACUGUGGUGGCCGAGACAUCGUGGUCAUUCUGAGCAUAGUAUUGUUGCUCGUUGGGGAAGUUGAGGAUGGCCAAAUGGCCUCGGAAGGCGAAGGCGGCCCAAUCAUAGGCUCGGGCAGCCUCCUCCACUGUCUCAAAGGUCCCGAGCCAGAGGCGGGCGCCAAUCCUCAAAGGGUCCUGGAUCUCGGCUGCAAACUUGCCCCAAGGGCGCUGCCGGAUCCCUCGGUACCGGGGUGGAUCGCUUUAUGACCUCCAUCCCCUCUUGUUCCUGGUCUCUUCGUUGUUCUCAUUGCUUUGGUUCCCUCUUGAAGAAGAACCUUCCACGGCAAGAUGAGUUAUACCAAACGAGGAAGCGAAAACUAUGAUGAUCUGCGUGUAAGCUUCUUUGGUAAACCUGAAGAAUAUAGAUUUCAAAUUAGAUAUUUAGGGUUUGGUCAGAUGAGAUCGGAGGUGAGGAAAAGUUCGGGGAGGUCGUAUCUGACGGUGGAGGGUUUUGUGUUUUUUUACGUCUCUCUUUGAGAAAAGUUCUAGAAAGAAAACGAACCCGAGCAACUUUUUGGCCCAGGAUGUCCCUCACCUGAUUUUUUUUUUUUUUUAUUGUGGGCCAAGGUAGUGGAAAACUUUGAUACGUGUGUAUGAAUGUGCAAUUGCAUGACGCAUGGGAUGAGGUAAUUGUAAAUAUUCAUCUAACUAUUGAAUUAGGCAUGCUUCAUUAGCGCAAGUUGACCUUGACUUGUCAUCCGCUCUAAUCUUAUGCUGUAUUCCCUUAUGUUUUGGGUACAAAUCAUCCAUCGUCCUCUUUUCUUGAUGAAAAGAGAGAUAAAAAGUGACAUAUCUCACCUACCGGUGGACAGCCGAGUUGGUUCGGCUUUGGGCACUUCAUCGCAGAGAUCCUACGGUUGAAACUCCAUAACUACUAACACGACUUAAGUGAGGGGCCAUGAUAGUGGAGUCUUGUACUAGCUUUUUCCCAGAUAUUGACCCUUAGUCAAGGGUGCACCGCGCACUCUACGAGCCAUGGGCUGCUUGGCGUAAGCCUGGCAAGCUUGGCGGAUCCUAGGCAUUAAAAAAAAAAAGUGACAUAUCUUGUACCUACCCAUGUAUGGUUGCGUUGGUGGAGGCGUUCUCCUCUGCAAUCUAUGGACCGUAUGGUCAGGAGUUCAAAUACCUACUCACGUUUGAUCUGCGAAAAUGCUGCUCUAAAAUAAAAAUGAUUGUCUAACUGUAGCCCAUGAUACUUUAAUUAUUUGAAUGCUUCAUUCUGGAUACUAGACGAGACUUAGAUAUCAGAUUAUUUAUAUCACUCAGUCCAUAAUAUACUGAAAAACGUCUUUGAUGACUCAUCGUUUGAUCCAUAACGAGUUGGGGCUAGCAACAAGUGUCUCGUGUCUUAUAUAUAGAGCUGACAAAAUGAGUUCAUUACCCAUUUUUUUAUUCAAUUGCAACGGACGGGGUGAAAUAUAGGUUGUUUGAAAUUUUAAAUAUGAGUUAAAAUAUGUUCACAAUAUUAAAGCUCAACUCAACGUGGGUCUAAUACAAGCCCAUUUUCACCCCCAAAAGAAGUUAUUACCUCAAGAAAUAAUUUUAAAAAAAAAAAGUAGGAUUUGUGGAAAAGGAGAGUAAAAAAGGGCGAACAGAACUGCCACCGAAGGUGCCUUUUUGUCAUCGGCGACGUCGCACACAUUGGCCGGUCUCGUGGCGGCAUCACUAGCCAGAGCGAUAGUCGUGAGAGCAAAAAUAGCUCUCUCUCUCUCUCUCUCUCUCUCUCUCUCUCUCUCUCUCUCUCUCUCUCCUGUCUCUCCAAAUAUGAAAAAUAUUAGUCCAUAGCCCAAGUAAUUUCAUAAGGGCCUCAAGCUCACUUCUCUUUUUACACUGCAGUUGGCAUGAAAAAAAAAAGAGGACUCCAACGACAAAAACAAGAAAAUGAAAAUAAAAAUAAAAAUAAAUAAAAGAACAAAAAUAAGACAAGAGGGGAUAGCAUUGGACCUGACAAGGUCCUCAAAGGACUCAAGGGGAGGAAACAGGCCACUUCUCUUUUUACUCUGCAGUUGGCAUGAAACAAAGAAAAGAAGGGGACUCUAACGACAAAAACAAGAAAAUGAAAAGAACGAAAAGAACAAAAAGAAGACAAGAGAUGACAGCAUGACCAAACGACUGUUUUGUGGCUUGCAAGUUCUUAACAUUCAAUCCAACUUGUUCAAGCUCAAUGUGGAUGGUAUAGUCAAGUUGUUUAUUGUGAAAAACCUUUCGACUUAAAAAAACUCUCUCGACAUGCAGAGCUCUUGUCUACCAUUAAUGGUAGUUUUCAUCUCAAACCCUACUAGUAAUCCCCCAGCUCACAAUCCUCCUUUCCUUUACAACGGUAAUCUCACAACCCACAAUCCCACCUCAGACCAUCCGCUUUCUGUCCCCUUGCUGUAGACGGAUUCGACCCAGCUAUCGAUAGAUCCCUCUGUCCUUUUUCUUCACCGUCUCCUUCACAACUCCCCUCCCCACUCACGUCUUGUACUGUCCAACUCUCAAUUUCAGGCUUAAUUACGCCAACGAUGGCAAUACCGCUGGCAUUAUCCACCCCCACAGUAGCAUACCACCCUUCAGCUCCUUCCACCCACUCAAUCGACCAUCCUCUGUUCCCUUCCCCAAUUCUAUCCUAUCUUUCCUCAAUUUGCCCUCCCGUUAUGGUCGUUCAGUUUUUUCGAUACAAUCCCUGCAUGUCCUCUUCCAUUCUGCCCUGAAUCAGCUGAGACCUGCCUUGGGGAAUUACUCAUGGACUCCCACGAUCAGGAAGAGGACUCGCACCUUGCUGCCCUCUGCAAUAGAAUGGGUCGUCUUUGGUCCGAGCAAGAUAUUGAUGUCUGGGACGAAUUGCCUCCGAUGGAACAACUAGAAGAGUGCAAAAAGGUAUUAGUUGGUACAAUUCUUUCAAAUCCCUCUAUCAACCUUCAAGCUUUUCAAAAUACUUUAAGGUGAGCUUGGCAUACUGAACAAGUUGAAAUUACCCAACGCAAAGCUGGGCUUUAUGUCACGAUAUUCAAAUCAUAAAGUGACAAACAGCGAGUGUUAGAGGGUAGUCCAUGGCUUUUUGCUAGUCAUUUGGUAAUAUUUAAGCCUUGGAGACCAAAUACACCAUUACAUUGCUAUGAUUUUACUACUUGUGCAUUAUGGGUACAUGUUUUUGGCCUACCCCUUGAGUGGUGUUCAGAUCAAAUGCUCUGUAAAGCGGUUAAAAGUGUAGGAAGAGUGUUGGAGGUGAAAAUUGAUACAAAGGAGGGAACUAAUCUCAGAGCUGGCCGAAUCCGAGUUGAACUUAACUUAAGCCAACCAUUGUAGACAGGACAAUUAAUUCAUAUAGUUGGAAAGGCUAUCUGGCUUGAUUUUCAUUAUGAGCAGCUCUCUCAUUUCUGCUACUCCUAUGGUCGACUAGAACACUAUGCUACAUAUUGUCAAGACAUUCCAUUCAAUGAAGCAAAACUAGCAAGCAAAGAAAAAAUGGCAUUUGGACAAUGGUUAAGAGCACAAGUCAAGGAACAUAGUCCCUAUUGGCUUACCUUUUAUGGGGCAAAGGCUGACUCUGAUGACACUGAAGAAGUGAUCCCUGAAACUCCUCCCUCAGCGACCACAAAAAUCCCUACAUUACCUAUGAUAGAAGACACAACAGUGGGACCUCAAUCAAGACCAGCCAGGCCAUACUUUCAAUCCUCUGCGCAUCAACAGCAACAUCUGCGCCUUUGUCUUGAAGGUCUACAAUCUGGGAACCCCUCCACCAGUGACAUAAUACAUGUUGCAAACAAGAUGAAAGGUCUAAAAGAAGCACCACUAACUAUUAAUGAUAGGCACACAGGUAACCAGAAUCAAUACAGCUCGAUACUUAAAGCACCCGAGACUGCUCUGCUUCAGCCACUCCUUCAAGAAGGCACUUUGUCAAUGAAUACUCUAAAUGCAGCAAUAAUUCCUUCACCUAUUAAACAGCAAGGCAAUCAAAAUCAGAUUCGGGAGGAUGCAUCCCUAAAGAAAUAGAAGCAUACUCGACUCUCGACCAAGGCAGAGAUUGCAAAGAAACUUAAAAGGUACAAUCCGUAUGACUCGUGUACUUCCUUAUUAGAUGGCCUAGAUGAAGAUCCACUAAUGAAAACUCCUGUUAUUUCGGCUAAAGAUGCUGGUAAGUGGGUUGAGGUGGUUUUCCCUAAAAAGUCACCGCUUGAAAAAUGAAGCUCCUCGGUUGGAACUGUCAAGGACUGGGCUCUCCCCUGACAGUUCAAGCCCUUAAGGCCCUAGUGGUCAAAGAGAAGCCUGGCCUAAUUUUUUUGAUGGAGACGAAGAGCAAAAAGGUUGUGCUAACUAGACUUCAGCGUCAACUUAAAUUCCCAAACUCCCACUUGAUUAGUCCUAUAGGAUUGGCUAGCAGACUAGCUAUGUUUUGGCAAUCUCAUAUCUCCCUACAAGUGGAACAAUCAACUCCAGAUUAUUUUGAUACUAUAUGUAUGGAUUCAAGGAUGGGCAUAACGAUGAAGUUAACUUGUUUACAUGCACUAGCGACAUUCCAAUCUUGCCAACUAUUAUGGACAGUUCUCCGCUAGAUUGCAUCCACCAACUCCUUACCUUGGGUUUGUGCUGGAGACUUUAAUGAUAUUCUCUAUCAUUGGGAGAAAGUGGGCAAACGAACAAUAGACUCACAUCGAAUACAUUUAUUUAGAGAAGUACUACAUGACUGCUCACUAAUGGCUCUUGAAAGUAAAGGUUGUGCUUUUACCUAGAUGAAUAAUCGUCAGGGUGAUGACUUGGUCAAAGAAAGGUUGGAUAGGGUGCUUUGUAAUCUGAAUUGACGACUUACUUUCCCUGAAGCUAAGGUAUUUGCCUUACCUGCUGUGAGCUUUGACCAUAGCCCUUUGAUGUUAAAUACAAAAAGCCAGACAAAGUAGAAGAUGCAAACCUUUUCUAUUUGAAGCCUAUUGGUUACAACACCAGGAUUGCAGCGGCAUUAUUGCAACAUCAUGGGCCUCAGCAAUGGAAGUUGGGCGUGACCUGCCACACAAACUUCGGAUUGUCAGCUCAGCUCUAAAUAAAUGAAGUCGAGUCAAGUUUUCUAAUGCCCAGUCACAGAUCUCUAAUUUGCAAUAGCAAUUACAAUUUCUGACAAAUCAAACUCACAAUUCCUACGAUAGAGAUUUAGUUGCAAAGUUAAAGGAAGAGCUACAAACGGCCUGGCAGCAAGAGGAGCAGUACUGGGCGAUGUGAUCUAGAAUAAAUUGGCUAAAGUGGGGAGACAAAAACACCAAAUUCUUUCAUGCAACUACCAUUCAGCGAAGACAAAGGAACAAAAUCAGCAUGUUACAAGACGAAAAUCAGCAAUGGGUAAGCGAUGAUCAGACUCUGAAGGAUAUGACUAUGGCUUUCUUUUCAAACCUUUACAGGUCAGCAGGUUAUCGAGACUAUGGCCCCAUCCUAGACCAAUGUUCGAGUGUGGUUACACCUUAAAUGAAUGCAAGCUUAAUUGCUACAGUCACAUCAGAAGAGGUCCAAAAGGCAACUUUUCAGUUGGGUAAAACUCAAGCCUUGGGCCCUGAUGGAUUAAAUGGUCUCUUCUACCAAACUCAUUGGAAUAUCCUACAAGAAGAGCUUGUCCUUUCGGUCCAGAACUUUUUUCAAACAGGAGUAAUGCCUGUCGACCUAAACAAGACCAUUGUCUCUCUAAUCCCGAAAGUCCCUAACCCGGAAAGCCUGGACCAAUAUCGGCCCAUUAGCCUUUGUAACUAUGCCUACAAAAUAAUAUCCAAAGUCCUUGCCAACGGACUCAAACCCCUCCUACCUGACCUGAUAUCUACCGAACAAAGUGCUUUUGUAAGCGGCCGCCAAAUCCAGGACAACAUUUUAAUCGUUCAGGAGGUGCUACACCAACUGAAGACUCAGAAUAGGAAGAGGAACUUUCAAGCAAUUUUAAAGAUGGACAUGCAAAAGGCAUGUGACAGAGUGGAGUGGGACUUUUGGAAAGACUAUUUUCUCCGGCUAGGUUUCCACUCCAUUUGGGUGCAAUGGGUGAUGCAGUGUAUCAUGACAAUUUCUAUAUCUAUCAAGUUUAAUGGCGAUCAACUGAACUACUUCCAUCCUAUGAGCGGCCUUAGACAAGGUGAUCCACUUUCCCCUUACCUGUUCAUUCUAUUGGCAAAUCUAUUGUCAACACUCAUACAUCAAGCCCUUGAUAUGGGUCAUCUUAAGGGAAUCCAGUUGAAUAGGUGGUGUCCUACUCUAUCCCAUUUAUUUUUCGUAGAUGAUACUAUAUUUUUCUUAGAUGGGAAAGUCCUGGAAUGUCAGAAUCUAGCUAACAUUUUGAACCAAUAUUACUUAGCUAUUGGUCAAGCAGUCAAUAGGAAUAAAUCGGGUAUUUUCUUCAGUAAAGCCUGCCCUAGUACACUUAAGGAAAAUUUGGCGCAGCAAUUCCAAAUCCCUGUGCUUCAUAAGAUCGGAAAAUACCUAGGAAUCCCAUCAGAUUGGGGUCGUUCUAAGAGAGAUAUGUUUGCUUGGAUUUUGGGAAGAGUGAACUCAAAAUUAGAUGGAUGGAAAGAAAAUCUUAUAUCGAAAGAUGGAAAAGAGAUUCUCAUUAAGAGUGUAGUUCAAGCUAUCCCUCAAUAUGCCAUGUCCAUUUUUAAGAUUCCCAUGUCUCUUUGUCAGUCCAUUGAAAAAAAGAUAGUGAGAUUCUGGUGGCCAAAUGAUAGUCGAAAGCAGGGUAUUCAUUGGAAAAAUUGGAAGUUACUGAAGGACAGGAAGGAGAAUGGUGAUCUUGGAUUUAGAGAUCUCAUUGCUUUCAAUAAACCGAUGCUUGGAAAACAAGCUUGGCGACUAAUCCAGCAUCCUUUAUCCCUGUGGAGCAAACUUUUCAAAGGUCUCUACUUCCACUCACAGGAUUUCAGUAGCGCUGCCAAAGGUGUCCGCCCUUCCUGGGGUUGGCAAAGCCUACUAAUAGGGCGGGACUCAAUUUUACCAAAGCUACAAUGGUCGGUGGGAAAUGGAACAAAGAUCAAAAUUCAUGAGGACCGAUAGCUACCUAGGGGAACUCUCGGAGGACCUGCAGAUAGAGACGAGCCACAAAUGGUAGCUGAUUUGAUUUUACCGGAUCACAACCAGUGGAACGUUUCUCUACUUCAAUGUUUAUUUGAUGUUGAGAUCAAAAAAGAAAUUCUCAACAUCCCAGUAAGACCUAAUUGUACAGAAGAUUAGUUAAUCUGGACAGCUACUCCUCAAGGUCAGUACUUUGUGAAGAGUGGCUAUCAUUCAAUCAAACAUGUAGCCACUCUCACAAUCAACAAUAGAGCAUCCUCUUCCUUUCAGACAUCUCAGCUCCUCUAGAAGAGUAUUUGGAAGCUUAAAAUCGCCCCCAAAAUUAGGCUUUUCCCUUGGUCUAUUUGUCAGAAUGCUUUGCCCACCAAAGCCAAUUUUUUUAACAGACACAUCAAUUUGGAACCCACAUGCAAUUUAUGCACAAAUCAAGUCCCUGAAUCGAUAGAGCACCUUUUUUCUACUAUGUCCUUGGACUACCUUAGUCUGGUCUCACCCUUAGAUUAACACUCGCAUACUACCAACAGAAGCACACCGCAUAGAAGCUUGGAUUGCAGACAGAUUUAAACAUAACCAAAUCUCAUCUAGUAUGGAGAUUGUUGUUGUAAUCCUCUGGUAAAUAUGGAAGGCAUGAAAUAGGUUCAUCUUCAGUCGUCAGAGGCCCGAUCCUUCUUUUGUCGUCGAAGCAUCCUUCGCCCAGUCUCACUUAGCCCAACAUAUCUCUUCCACCACAACAACAUCAGGGCACAAUCUUUCAGAUCCAGGUUCUUUGUGGCGGCCCCCUUAUCCAAGCAUGCUAAAGAUCAACAUUGACAAAGCUUUUCAGAUUGACAGCACCACAGGCUCAAUAGCUUAUAUUUGUCGAGAUCAUACGGGCAAAAUGAUGGAAGGAUUUACAAAUGGAGUCACUGCUUCCUCGGCCUUGCAGGUUGAAAUUCAAGCGCUAAACACAACUCUGCACCAUCUUUUGCGGCUCGACAAGUCUAGCGAUCCAUUGAUCGUUGAAUCGAAUUGCCUUACAAUGGUAGAAGCAAUGACUAAUCCUCAGAAGACGCCAUGGGAGGUUCGCUCAAUGUUUGCUGAAGCGGCUACACUCCUCCCCUGUUUCUCUCGACUCCAAAUUAGGUUUUGCCGUUGCGAAGCCAACUCUGUUGCGGAUUGGGCUGCCAGGGCCCAUUCUUACGGGACUUUAUCUUCUUCUUGGCUUGUCUUCCCCCCCCCCCCUCUCCUCGUAUUUUGUUAGACCUUAAUUCUCUUGGACGCUAUUGAAGCGGGGUGUAAUGUUACUUUAACUUGAAUGAGGGCUUUCCGACCAAAAAAAAAAAAGUUAUGAACAUUCUGGCGAACCGAAUUAACUUUGUUUCCCAGCAUCUGGUGAGUAUACGAAACUUUUAUUCGUCUAAUCAAACGAAUUUUCGAAGUAUCGUCAUAAAUUUGAAGCUAUGUGAAUUUUGAACCGCAAGGUUUAAUUGAGGAGUUAUUAAGCUAUGAAAUUUUAUAGAAUUGUGGAGCCGUAAGAUUUGAUGAAAUUGAUUUCGAAUUAAGGUUUGAUUGAAGAGAAUUUCUAAAAUUUCAGCUCAAGGUCUGCGUAGUAAAUAACUUUAAAUAAUUGCCUUGGGAAAACGUUUUGUUGUUGCGUAGAAGUCGUUUUGUCAAUGAUUAAGUUUUAGUUUAGUCAAAGAGUAGUUAAAGGUAGCUUGGCAUUUGAUUUUGUGGAGGAGAAUAUUAAAAGUGUCAAAAGUUGUAUACGACAUUUACUUUAAUGUCAAAAGUUUUCGAUGGUCCACUUGAGUGUCAAAUUGGAAAAAAAAAAAAAAAAUAUCGCCUAAGUGCAUCCAGUGAGAAAUUCCGACUAAAUUGAUUACAUGGCAUUUAUAAUUAACUUGUUAGUAUGACUUGACAAUUUUUUUAAAAAUAUAGUCCAUGUGGACUAUGAAAAUGAAGUCGCACGGCGCAUGUGGCUCGCUCACCCAAAACGACGUCGUACAACAUGCUUUCUAGCUUCCCAGCUCGCCAGACCUACGGAGCGAAAGUCGGGGAGAGAGAGAGAGAUGAUAGUGGCGACCACCACCACCGACAACGAAGCCUCUAGCAAGGGCCUGAAGAUCGUGUGGAACUAGCCCUAAUAAAGGUUUGAGACAGAGUACAAGAAGGCUUGGCUUGGCUUCCCAUACAUUCGUCCCUCGAAGCAAGGCCUGGGAUUGGCUUCCCUCCUCUACGUCACACGCCAAGACCAACUCCAUGUUUGUUGUCCCCACUUGCUCUCCUGUCUCAAUCCAUUCAAAUCCCUUUGUCCACUUCCUCUACUAUUGAAGAAAUCUUCAGUGCUGCUUAGUGAUCAGAAGAAUGAAGCAAUUCAAUGUUCUGGAACAAAACGGGGAUUUGAAGGAGGAAGAAGAAAAGAGCGAGAAGGAAUGAGGGGAAGAUGAUUGUCGUAGAGCCUAAUGGGAAGAAGUUUGAACGACAACUGCCUACCUUCCCCUUCUCGAUUUCGUAGAGAUCACCUUCGGCGAUAGGCGCACCUUUGUCGCACCACGCUGAUACACAUUCUCUGCUAAUUUCCCAAAGCCACUAGAGAAAAAUCCAAAAUCUUUUACGAAACAACAAUCGAUUCACAGUCACAAACAAAUAUCAACAUGCUCAUUUCACACGAGAUGCGGAGGGAGAAAGAGACAGAGGGAGGGUGAGAGAGAUGUCAUCGGGUAAGGCACAAAAACAGCCAAUUCAAUGUCUGGCUUAGGGUUGGGAUUAUCUUUCAAUUUGGAGAUUAAGGGUUCUUAUUUAGAGGAAAGCUACUGGACGAGGUCAUUUUAUGCUUUAGAUGUUGACCGGACCCUCAUCGGCUUAAGAAAUUUACAAAAGAAUGACACAUCGAAUUUCCGACUAAACAAAUAUGAGUUGGCAAUAAAAAUAAUUGUUUUUAAAAAAGCUGGCACUAAAGUGAGUUAUCGAAAACUUUUAGUACUAAAAUGAGCAUCGUACAUAACGUUUGACAUUUUUAGUGUUUUUCCUCUCUUGAGUUCUUCGGCUCGAGUAACCUUCACAAGUUGGUUUUCAACUUUUCUAGAUGAAUGGUACUUAUCUCUUCUUUAGCUUUGUAAAACUCAUGUUUUGAAAUGAUAAAAGAUAUAUUAUAAGUGAAAGAGGCAUGGCAUGGUUUGAUAUUCCUUUGAAAGAAAAAGUGGUGCUUAUGGUAUAUUAAAUGCAUUAAACUUAAUCGAGCAUUUAUUAUCGUUUUAUCUUCUUCUUCUUUUUGUCUAAAUUGUUUUAUCUAUUUGAAGUGGCAAAAUAUCUUUUGAUUAUAUCUUGAGUUGAUUGCCCAUAAUUGGUUUGAAAAACCUUUAAUGAAAGAAUUAAGAAAAAUUCCAAAUUGUGAACUUGUUUUAUGAAAGGAACUCCAUUGGAUAUAUAUUGAAUUGUGAAAAUUUAUAUAUUUUUAUUAGUGAACUUGAGUUUCGAGAUGGAUUCUAGAUUUGAUUUGUGGGUCAUUGGAGAAUGAUAUAAGCGAAAUAUGCUCAUGUUGCUAGAAUUAGAACCCAUUGAGGAGGUAAGUAUACAUAUUGUUAUUAGGUUGUUCUUUUAGGUCAAAUUAUCAACUAAUAUAGGUGGAGACCUAACCAAGAGAGGAAAAUUUAGUUGCAAUUGUCAUGUGCAUUGAGUGCGACCAUAAUUAGAUAUUGCGUAUUAGAUUUGACGUUUGAUUUGACAGAGAUCGAUCAAUAGAAUGACUAUUGAUGGUUGAUUUGUUAAUAUUGAUUUGAUAUCGUUGAAUGAUUUGAUAUACAAAAAGUUUUGCUGAAAAUAUAACUCGAUUUUGAUAUGUUAGGUACAUUGUAUAUUGAAUUUGGGAUUGAUGAGUUAUGAUAUCGGUUUAUAAAGAUGCAUAGUCAAUGUCCGAUUUACUUGGAAGAGAUAUACUAUUCACUGGAUUGUGAUUGCUCAUUUAAUCUGUCUUACUUGCUUUUUAGGUUCUUCAACUAGCCCAAGUAGGAUAAGAAUGUUUACGUUACAAGCAUGACGUUUUGGUAGUGAGAUUUUUUAGUAUAAGUUGUUUAUGUUUGAGGUGAACUUUUGAGUUUAGUUGUUAGUUGGAGAUAUGUUAGUUGGAGAUAUAUAUAUAUAUAUUCUUUUGAUAGAUUAUAGAAACUCUAAUUCUAGAACUAUUUAUCGAACAUAUAGAUUUAUGUAUUUCGAUCACGGAUUGAUGAUUGUUAUAUUUGAGGAAGUAUCUUUCGAAUGAAAUGACGGUUGUAUCAUCCCCAGUUAUUGUAUAGGUGGGGGUUUCGUAGUUCGCUAAGCCACAACCAUUUGCGUCAGACACCAACGGCUGUGUGGUUCAAAGGAGAGGACUAUCGAUGUUAGUGAUUGGCCGGGUACGACAAUGUGAAGGAGAUGGUGUAAAAAACGCGUCAUUUUGAGAGAGUAUGCAGAUUUACCCACCCGUGCCGCUUGACGGAGGUGGUGAGCGACGAUGUCCUGGAAAACAGCAGAAUGGUGAAGAAAGGGACGGGGGUGACGUGUAAUCUCUUCGCGACGGGAAUGCUAGAGGAACUAUGGGGAAAGAACCGGCUGAAGUUCGGACCAGAGCAUUGGACGAGGGCUACGAAGGACGGUAGUGAGAAUUGGGCGUUCGUUGGUAAGGAUGCAUUCAUGUGUCCAGUGUUCCAGGUGGGGCCAAGGGUUUGUCCCGAGGAAGGAAAUGGCGUUCCUGCAUAUGAAGAGGGUGGUGGCCAAGGUGCUGCGACGGCUGAGGGUGGUGCCCGUAAAUGAGGAAGGGGCAUAGUUGAUGUUCAUUUUGUAACUAGUGCGAUGGAGAUCUGUUUGACCCUUUUUGUCUUUUACAUAUGCUAAAUUUGUGCAUCCCUAUUUCUCUUAAUUCUUAUUAUUUUAAAAUUGCUAAAUGCCUAAUUUUUAUGGUUAAAAAGAUGUGAGAUAUGUAAAUUUGUGCAUCCCUGUCUAAAUUGUUGAGAAAAAAAAAAGCAAAUAUAAAUUAAAUGGAUGAAUAUAGAUCAAAUUCAUUUAUCGAAAUCCGAAUCAACUAACCAAUCUGCUACCUCUAAAUUAUAUUCGAGGAUGACGGAAGUCUUAUCCAUACCGGUCCAUGCUGACAUGGUCGUCCUUUUUAGCCAUUUUGGGGGAGAGGACGCCAGAGCACACGAAUGGCUGACUAGUUGGAGUUCCUCAGUGGCCUCACGUGGGACCAUAUUGAACCACCUAUUUAUAAUAUACAAGUAUAUCUUCCAAUGUUGCGGCAUCUUCGAAAUCAUAUUACAUUUUAACCGGUCAAGCCUUUGACGUUAUCUUUCAUCGCUCAUGCCGUGGCACUCAAGACGGUGAUGGAGUCAUUAUCUCACUCUGGAGCUGAGCUGCUCCUCAGGAAAAUGAUUUUCACUAGAAACGAAAGAUGACCAAGGCUAUCCACGGAUGGCCUAACCAAAGUAUACCUCCUAUUAUAUCUUUUUAACCCUCCUAACUUUUGAGGUCAAGAUAUACGCUGUUAGUAGUCGAUUUUUCGCAUGAACGAGAUAAAAGGUCACGGUCCAGCUCAUUUCAACGCCAAACUACGUCUCAAAAGAGGCAACCCUCUCAUCAAUUUGCCCCCUGUUAAUUACUCGAUUUUAUUGCAAAAUAGUAGACUGUCCCGUCGUGACGAAGAGAUUAAUUGAGGUGGUGGGCCCGGACAUGCAGCCUUUGUUAAGAUGGAAAGGAAAGGAAAGGAAAGACGGGUCACGGUCAAGGCAGACCAAUUUGUAAAAGAGAAGGAGCGAAACCCCUUCCUGGAGACUGAAGAAAUCAUCAUGUCCUAUUCAAAAAAGGAACCCCAAAAAUUCUGAAAUAUACUAGAGUUUCCCAAAUCAACUGAAAUUAAACAGAAAUUGCAACUUAAAACGGCAAAAUCCAAGCUCAGCCUGGUUUGACAUCAACCCGUCCUCAAAUAAAGAGAAGCUCUUCCAAAAUGGUUUAGUACGAACCGAUUUUGGAAACUAUAUCAGGGCAUUUAACAUUAGAAACCUAUGACAUAAAGCAACAAUUUAUUGAGAUGAAAUAACUUUAGCAUCCCAGAAAUCUUUGUCUGUAUGAAAACUACCGCUUAAAUAUGCACUCACCGACCCGGGUUUAUGUCGCUGUGUGACUUCAGUAGUUCCUCCAACAGCUUAUCGUCCAGAUACUCGAGCUCGAUCACAUCUCCGGACGGCUCAGCGGGUGCUGACACAGCAGAUGACGAUGAACCUGCCGAAGAGAACGACCAAGACGACAGUGAUUGGGGUGUGGAGAAAGAACUGGGGUGGCCGGAGACAUUGUGAUCAUUCUGAGCAUAGUAUUGUUGCUCGUUGGGGAAGUUGAGGAUGGCCAAAUGGCCCCGGAAGGCGUAGGCAGCCCGGUCAUAGGCACGGGCGGCCUCCUCCACCGUCUCAAAGGUCCCCAGCCAGAGGCGGGCACCAUUCCUCGAGGGGUCCCGGAUCUCAGCCGCGAACUUGCCCCAAGGCCUCCGCCGGAUCCCUCGGUACUGGGGUGGAUCGCAUCGUGACUGCAAUGCCCUCUUCUUCCCCGUCUCUUUGCUGUUCUCAUUGUUCUGAUUCCCUCUUGAAGAAGACCCUUCCAUGGCCAACUGAGUUAUAUCAAAUGAGGAAGUGAAGAAUAUGAUGUUAUGCGUGUAAGCUUUUUGGGUGGACUUUAUAAGGAUUUCAAAUUCAAUGGCAACAAAGAAUUGAUGGAGGUUCUCGGGUAUUUAUGGGGUUCGGGAAUGAGAUCGGAGGCGUUGAAAAAGUUCAGGGGAGGUCGUCUCUGACGGUGGGGGGUUCGCGCUCUUUGUCUUUUCGUAAGAAAUUUCGGAGAGAGACAAAUCGAAUUUGGGCAAGUUUAGACCCAGGACGCCCAUUGGAAUUCGGAUUUGACGAACACCGGGUGAUGGCCUUAUUUUUAAAUUGUAUAUAAUUGCUAAUGUCUCUGACAUGUUUAUGUGUUGUGGGCCCGGGUAGGGCAAAUACGUGUGCAUGAACGUGUAUGACUUACUGGAGAGGUGGCAAUGUCGAAAGCAAUUAUUGUACCAUGGAUCUGAUUUUUUCUUUAAUAUAGGCCUUAUUUUUAAAUUGUAUAUGAUUGCUAUGUCUGUGACAUGUUUAUGUUUUGUGGGCCCGGGUAGGGCAAAUACGUGCGCAUGAAUGUCAAUGACUGACUGGUUGAGGUAGCAAAGUCGAAAGCAACGAUUAUAGCAUGGAUCUGAUUUCUUUAAUAUUUAGUUAGAGGGGUAAUAUUAAAUAUUAAUCUUCACUAUUGCAAUUGGCAUACUUUCCACGGGAGACUCCUUAGUGCAAUUGACCUUGCUGUGUCAUCAAUCAUCCUCUCAUAUUGUGUCCCUUCAAAAGAGUCAUCAUUAUAUAUUUUUAUCGUAAACUGCAGAUUAUCUAAAAUCUCUUUUAGCAACGAUGUAAUGAACAUAAUUAAUCUUCAAAUAAAAUAUUGAUGUCUGUAUAAAUAGGUGAUUAUUUAAUAUGAAAACGAGUAUGUGUCUCAAUCAUAGACUUGUUUAUGUAAGAAAUCAGCAAUAUUGCUGGCGUUUAGGAAAAAGUUUGUAGGUCUGUACAUGUAUCAUGGACAUUUUUUAAGUGAAACUUUGCGCUGGUGAAUAAAAGAGAUAUAACAAGAGAUUUACUAUAUAGUUUCUUGAAAUAAAUUGUGCACAAAAGCCUUAAAUCGAUUGUAUAGCCUCUUUAAGUCCACAGCUUUUCAAUUUAGCUAGUGUAAUUUUAAACAUUUUAACAAUUUUGCAAUUUAACCCAUCCAGUCAAUUUAUGCUUGAUAUUGUUAACAUGACGAUUAGUUAGUGCCGACCGUCCUACAUGAUAUAAUUGAUAAUCCGAUGUGUCAAACUCCAACAAAAACGACGUCGUUUUGAAUCAUUUUAUAGUUUUUUUACUUUCUUUUAUUUUUUUUAAUUCUUUUCUUUGUUCUUUUCUUCACUAUUCAUUUUCUCAAAAAUAACCGCUCACCGCCCCCACCAUCAUUGGAAGUCAGCAAAGGUCAUCGAGGCCUUUACAAUAACCGGCAGCCCUCAACCUACCACAAGCCCCUGGUGGAGGACUUCUUUGAGUGCUCGCAUUAGGAAAAAGUACCAAAAAAGUAAAUCUAUUACUAUUGUAUAUAUUUAGUCAUAAAUCUUUCAAUUUUAUCAAUUUAUUUUUAAACAGUUUCAUAUUUGGCCAAUUAAAUUCAUCCAAUCACUUUUGAUUGAAAAUCGCUAACAUUGAUGUCAACCUUCCUACAUGGCAUAAUCAGCGCUAACAUUGACAACUUUAAUUUUUGAAUUUUUAUGUUCUUUCCUCUCUUUUUUCCCUUGCAUUUUAGCCGGUGAGGGUCGCGACCCUCACCCAUGUUCUCACUAAAUCUAAGCAAGGGCCACCUCACUUAGAGCUGGCGGGGCGGUGAAGACUGUGGGCAAGGGCCUUCACACCCACCCUUGCUAGCCAUGAGAUAGGCAGCCCUCACCCAGAAUUAGCUAGGGUCUUUGUACCCUUGUGGCCGAUUAGGGCCUCACCCAAAUCUAGCAAUGGCCUAAGCCGACGAUACUUGUUGGCCUAAUUAAAAGGAGAAAAAAAAUCAAUUUUUUAAAAAUUGUAUAUGUUAUUCAUGUCAAUACCGACCGUGCCAUGUAAAAUAACUAACAUCCAUAUUAGUAAUUUCCAAUCAAAUUGGUCAAAAUUAUUCAAUUGGCAAUUUGUGAAAAUUUUUAAAACUAAAUUAGCAUAAUUGAAAUGUUCAAAAGUGAAUUGGCACAAACGUAAUAAGUUUAGGAUUUUUUGGUAUUUUUCCUGCCCGCGUUAUGGCUGCAGGUUGGAUUGUAAUGCCAUGGCGAGAGAGUCGAGGGCGUCUUCUCCAUCGCCUUUGUAGGCGGGCUUGUCCGCUUUUAUGAUAUAUGCCCCGUGUCUAAACGAGCUAAUGGUGCGUGUUCAGAGAAGCGGGCAUUUGAAACCCAAAAACAGAGGAUUUGUAACAAUAUAAUGGUUAAUCAAUCGAAUCAUGGCAUAUGUCGAUAUUCUGUAUUGUUGUAACGAUAACAAAGCCCCAUUCACCUAUCAAACCCCACUAAAUGAAUUCGAAAUAAUCAUUUCAUCUGCCUCAAGAGCUCUGCUCGCAACUCAGCCAUCUUGAUCUCGGGUCUGGUGCCCACGAGACCUGCUUGUCCGACCCGCCAUCUUCUCCCUUCUCCCCUUUUUACUUCACAGUGGCAGCGCCACUGGCGGUUACCACUAGGGGCGUCGCACCUCACACCGCUGCCAAAAUACCCAAGCCCGUAAUUUCAAGCAAAGCGUGAAUCGGGUCAGUGAUUGGAAUGGGUUUAUUCGGGAGAUGAAGAGGGAUGCAUGGGAAGCGUAUGAUUUACCGGGCAACGAUGUUGGAGACUGCGCCAACAGCCAAAGUAGAGAGAAGCUUAGCCUUGCCGCCCGGAUUUAGGCUAGGGCAUUACCGUGGCUCUCAUCUAAAUCUGAGUGAGGGCCAUGACCCUCACUUGUGGUCGGCGUCCUUUGCUGGCCAUUGCAGUGGAAGAAAGAUGAUGAACACCAAAAAGUAAGAAUAGGGAGAAAAAAGAAGAAGAGAAGAUCAAUUCAGAAAUUUUAAUAAAAAUUACAAAGCUGGGGUCAUUCCACUUAAGAUCGUCCACGUCAAUCCCCAACUUUGUCACAUAAAAUAGAUGACACUAAUUUAACCAUCACGUAAAUUAAAUUUAACUUAAAUUGGCUAGAUGGACUAUACUAUAAAAUGGUCAAAAAAUUUAGAAUUAUAUUAAUCAAAUAAAAAUAGAGCUGAAGAUGUACAAUAGAUUUAGAGCUCUUUGAAUAAUUUUUCCAAUUUCCCGAUGAGAAAGAGGGGGGUAGAUAUCAAAAGUGACAAUCUCAAUAGUAUAAAUAGUCAUUGUAACAUUCUGACUUACGAGAAAAGUGUUGUAAGGUUAAAUUCUUGUCUAAGCUUAGUCCAUGAUACUUAAUGAUUUGAAUGCUUGGUUCCAAAUGAUAUUAGUUGAGACUCGUAGAACAAGCUAUUUAGAUUACCCGGUCCAUAAGAUAUUGAGAAUCUGAUAUUUUUAAUGACUCAAAUCAUGUGAUCCACAAUAAAUUGCGGCUAAUUAACAAAUCUAUGUCCUUAUAGACUUUCUAUCUUUCUUCUUUGUUUGUUCUGCCUUUUUCCUUUGGGGUGAUAGCAACAUACGUUUUGGAACUUUUGCAUCUUCAAUUAAAUUUAGAAUUUUUUGAAAUUAUUCAUGGCCAUUCCCCAUUAUAUAGAACUAGAUGGCACGUGGCUUUUGCUAUUGUACGGUGGCAAACCAAUCGUUACACAACCAAUACGAUAAAUUGGAAACACCAAAUGCGUUUUGAAUAAAAGAGAACUCCAAAUGCAUCUUUGUUCCAUCUAAAUCACGAGUGAUGCAAAUUAACUUCAUCUCUACAUUCUUUGAAUUUUAAUAUUUCGUAUCAAAUAUGGGAUGCUUAUGAUAGCAUCUUGAGAUCUAAUGGCUGCUAGUUUCCCAACCCCAACCUUUCUUCCUAGCAAGGAAAAAAAAAGUGAGUGGUGCAAAGAGCGAAGAAAUUAAAAGGUCCAUCCCUGGAAAUAUGGGCAUAUGUGUAAUCUUCAUUAAUUGCAAAUUAACUUGACAUCUCAAAUCAAAUUCUCCUCCUUACCCCUCCCCCCCCCCCCCUUUCUCCCCCUCCCUCUUGUCUCUAACCAUGUCCCUUUCAUUUUUCUUAGCCAAGCAACCAUCAUCAUCAUAACUCUCACCUCCGGCGACCAACAUUUAUUGAUAUAGAUUUAUACAAAGAUUUCAAAAAUAGCAUAUUAUUCUUAUUUUUAUUUUUUGAAUAUGCAAUAGCUUACGUUUUCAACCACAAACGUGAGCUCGUGUGGUGGUAGGGAAAUCAAGCACAAAUGUCCCAUCAAAACCGUGUCUAAUGACGAUCCUAUGACGAUCAAGAACAUAAAGCGCAUAGGAUGACGCAAGUCCUGUCCAUGAUGACGCGGUCGUCUCUGUCUAGCCAUUUCCGGGAUAGGGCCUAAACCCGCGCGAGUGGCUGGAUUAAUUGGACUUUCUCUGUGGGGCCCACGUGGGGCCAAUUCGGACAACUCCUUUUCUAAUACAUCCAUCAAAAUCACAUCAAAUCUUAACUGGUGAAGUCGUCGACGUAACCGACCCAAAAAAAAAGUCAUCGACGUAAUCCCUUAUCACUAUGACGUGGCACUCGGGAACGUGACGGAAUCAUUGCGUCACUCUUCUACUUCGUCGAACGAGAUUCACUAAAAAAACGAAAGUUGACCAAAGACUACAUGCAUACCUAUGAAAGACUUUGUCACGCCCUAAUUCUCGUUUACGCGACAACCAUCGUUCUCUUAGGUCAUUUGAUUGUGAUAUCUUAGAAGGCGUCAUUGACUCAUUUGUAUUAUCAUUUAUUUAUGCACAAGCAGAAGCGUAAAUACAAUCACCCAACCAAUCAAACAGAGAUAGCUGAAAACAUACCUAUAUACAUGCACGCGCACACACAUUCAUAACCACAUCAUUCCAUACAAACUAUUUUUAGACAAACUAAGCAACAUAACAACGGCAUCACCCGGUAUGCCACUUCCAAAAACAAUCCAAAGGCGCAGCCAUAGCCAUCUCCAAAAGGGUUCCGAGGCAAGCCUAACACCUCUAGUACUACGAGGGUGAUGUCAAAAAGUAAUGCACCCCCACUACCACCUAGCUCCCUAUGGGCUCCAUGUACUAGGGCUCUAGCUUGAUGAUCAACUCGGGAUCGACUACCGAAUUGGACACUGCCCCAUCGGGCACAACCAAAUCCAUCGCAUCCCAACUGGUGUUGUUUGGCCUUGCACUCGGAGGUCCGUCAAAAUCUCAGAUUGGGCAGUAUAGGUAGUCACCUACCCAAAAGUACCGGGUCAAGAAGUGCUGGGGCACUAAAUUCUGAAGCCCCUCAUCGACCCAAAUUGUGGUCACGAAACGUUCAUAAUGGGCAUUGGUCCUCUCGGUUGGAUAUUCAGUAACCUCAUGGCUCUACUCAAUGGGGACCUCGAAUCGGAUGUAGCAAUAAGGUUCAGACAUUCUUAGGGCCUGAAAACAUUUCAAUAAACAACAAUGAGAUAAAACUCGGGCAAUAAACACCAUAAUCCUCGUGUAGGGAGGAAAUUCACUUCAGAGUUGUCCUAAACGUGUAAGUGAUCUAUUGAUGUUAGAUCAGUUGCAAAGUCCUUGCUUUGCCUUAACUAUUAAUAGGAAUGGUUAUUUCACUUUAUCGAGGCCGUCACAAUAUAAGCACAUAGAUAAUUUUCAUAACAAAUCACAUACUUGCGAGGCAGAGAUAAGAACAUGCAAUGUCCCAUGCAGUAAUACCAUAUAAUAAUCCAAACAUAAUCAAAUAUUAUUUUCAUACACAUUUCACACAUAUUCUCAUACACGUUUCACACAUAUGUGUUCAGAUUAUUACGACCGUUCAAGGCCACAACCCAAAGGUCGGUGGCCUUUCAGCAUAAUUAAGUAUCGUCCCACCCCCAUCAAGCACAACAUUAUCUUGCGUACGCAUACGCCUCAGGACGGCAUUCUAGUUGAGGAGCUUCUUUCUGAAAUCUAUUCGUGAACGGCAUCUUGUUAACGUGGGAGCAUCCGAACUUAAUCGGGCAUCGUCUCAUAUAAUCAUGCGCAUCAAGAUGGUUCCAUCACCCGCAUAAUCAUACGCAUCAUGAUAUUUAAAUAAUCGCACAAGUAUACCAUCACUCAAGCUCAUUUUAUACAUUUCUCAUUAACCGAAACAAGAGUGUGUAAUACUUGUACAAUAUGCAAUAACGUUUGCCACGUACAAUCAUGUCAUGCUUGUAUCUCAUAUCAUAUCACUUCAUAACGUCACUUAAACACUUUUAACAUAUUAUCUUUUCAUAUAACCUUAUAUGCAUACUAAUAAGCCAUGAUUAUUGAAUUCCAUAAACACUUACUCUUUCUUUUCUAAUCUAAGAAUUUCAUGAAUAUACACCAAAAUUAAAUUUAGCAUCCAACAAUACACCAAUCCAUUAGAACUCAAAGCAUAUAGAACACUCAUCAAAGGUAAGAUCAGUCAUUGUUUUUAAGUAUAAGUUAUUAUGAUAACCUAUCACAUGCCAACAUAACCUAUCCGAUAACUUAUCUCAUAUCAACAUAUCAUAGUAUGAUAACUUAUCACACAUCAAUAUAUCAUAUUAUAAUAACUUAUUGAAUAUUAAAAUGACCUAUCACGAUAACCUAUCGUGACCUACAAUAAUCUAUCACGAUAACCUAUCAGAAACUACAAUAACCUGUAUUUUAAACCUACUUAUCACAUAACCAAAUUAUCAUUUAACCUUAAUCUAAUACUAAUCUUAGUUCUAAGUGUAAUCACAACCCUAAAUAAGGGCUAGAAAGCCACUCACUCUUAGUUCUAAGCUCGGUGAGCGAUGGUGAAGGGGUGGCGAGGGCUGGACAGUGGCGGUGGUGGCCAAUCACACACUGAACGGCUCAUGGUGGAGGCUGUGGUGGCAUCACAACUGAGGCAUGGCGACGGCAGGGCUGGACGGCACUCUCCGAGCAUCAAUGGUCCAAACCGAGAGAGAAAAGAGUAGAGUGAAGUGGCGAUCGUGAGGACAGCAGUGCAGGAACAUCAGCUUCCACUUUGGAUGGUGGAGUGGAAUCUAAGGAGGAAAAAUGCGAGAAAAUGGCUUGCAAAGAGGGAGGAAAUGGAGGAGUGCGGAUUCAACUAGCUCAAUGAAAAGGAAGGAAAUGAGAGCAAAGUGAGAGAAGAGAGAGAAUGAGAGAGUGCUAUGCAAAUCAAAAGGGGAGGGGAAAGAGAGAAUGAAAGAUCUUGCCAUUAAUAGCAUUGUAGUUGAAAUCCCUCCAAUCCAUUACAACUUAGUAUUUUGCUUGGAGGGGAAGGAUUCAUGAAGAAAGAAAGUCCAAGCAAUUAAUGCAUUUGAUAUGUACACAUAGGAAAUUAGGGGGAUAGGCAAGGAAACUCUUCUCAGACUUAUCUGUCCAUUCGAACUUCACUUCUUUCUUUAACAAUCUUGUCAGUGGCGUAGCUAUGCCGGAGAAUCUUUCCACGAAUCGCUGAUAAUAGCUAGCCAAUCUUAGGAAGCUCCGAACUUCAAUCACCAUCGUCAAUCUUGGCCAAUUCAUGACCGCUUCAAUCUUUGUUGGAUCCACAGAAAUUCCUUCGCCUAAUAUUACAUGACCUAGAAAUGCUACUCAAUUGAGCUAGAACUAGUACUUGGUGUACUUAGCAUAAAGUGCGUGUUUUCGGAGGGUCAUCAAUACUAUCUUUAAAUGUUGUUCAUGCUCCUCUAGGUUAUUCGAGAACACCAAUAUGUCAUUAAUGAAGACUAUGACGAACUGAUCCAAGUACACCUUGAACACUCGGUUCAUUAAGUCCAUGAAAGCUGCUGAGGUAUUGCUUAACACAAAUGGUGUCACUAUAAACUCAUAAUGGCCAUAUUGUGUUCCAAAUGUGGUUUUGGGAUAUUCUCUUUUCUAAUCCUUAGCUGAUGAUAACCCAUCCUUAGGUCUUUGACAAUGCCAAAGCUCCUUGAAGUUGAUCAAAUAGGUCGUCUAUCAUUUGUAACGGAUACUUGUUCUUGAUCAUCACUUGGUUGAGUUGUCGGUAAUCGAUGCAUAGUCCAUCCCUUUUCUUCAUGAAUAGGAUGGGCGCUCCCCAUGGCAAUGUGCUAGAGUGAAUGAAUCCCUUGUCAAGCAAUCCCUGCAUUUGAAAAGACAUCCGCAAAGUCUCAUAUCACAAUGAUAUCCUUUAACGUCAGCUUCUCUAUGAUCAUAUCGUCAACCAUUGCCAGAUAGCCUUGGCAACCAUCUUUUAGCAACCAUUCUACCUCAAGCAAUGUAAUUAAGUGUGUAGGCUGUCCACCUCUAUUCCCUAUGAACUCAAAAGUAGAACCCCAACUGGGUUGAACUAUAUGACAUUACUAAAGCAAUCACCGUGGCUCGUCACUUUUUGAGCCAAUCCAUUCCAAUUAUGACGUCAUUAUGGAUAGUUUCGUACAUGAUGGCCCUAUUGGCUACAUCAAAAGCAUACUCCUGUCUAGGCGUGGCAUGGUACGGAUCCAUGAAACUUGCCACAAAAUCGGCAUCCAUGGCUUAGAUUGUGCAUCGGCUCUCUAACAUCAUUCCUCCUAUUGGGAGAGAUCAAGUGUUUUUCUCAUGCAUCUACCUCUUCUUGAACCGAUUAUUGUCUCUGUUAGCAGUGAACCGCGACUCAAAUGCAGCUACUCACUCAAACAUCACCCUCUCAAUUAGUUGGGUCCUUUUAUAAAGCUCAUCAUAAUCUUUUAGAUUUAAGGGCACCAAUUGGCUACGAAUCUCUUACUUUAGUCCAUCUCGAAGCCUCCUAGCUCAAUCUGCCAUAUCAUCAAUCAUCCUUGGAGCAUAAUUCAACAGUUCAGCAAACUUAGCCUCGAAUUGGUCGAUGAACAGGUGGUUAUGACGAAAUUGCAGGAAUUCAGCAAUUUUUUGCUCUCGAGCACACUUGAAAAAGUACUUCCAUUAAAUGCUUCCGCAAACAUGCCCCAAGUCAAGACAGUAUCUUCAAGAAAAACUCUUCCCCAUGUGACCUCCCAUUAGUCAUUAGUAUUUCCUUAUAGUUGGCAAAUCGCUAAGGUCACCUUUUCCUAUCUUUACACCUUAGUAACACAAAGGCAUUCUCCAGCCCUUUAAUUGACGAGGCAGCAACCUCAGGAUAGCCUUUUGCAGUGAACUGGGGUGGCUUUAGCUUUAUGAAUUGCUCCACCAACCUUUGACUCCCGUCUCCAACUAAUAGGGCAUCGUUGUGAGCAGCAGAGGUAGCCACGGUGGUAGCAAUAGGGCUUGCGAAAUCCCAUCUACUUUGAGAUCCUGCUGUACCCUUUCUUGGGCACCAGCUUGCCCCUAGAGUUAACCUUCUUCGACGCAUCCUUAAAUAUGGGCUAAACUCCUCUUAAAGCACUAAGAAUAACUGAUUCCACCAUCCCAAAAAUAUAGUUAGGAAUUCAAAACCAUAAACCAAUAAGACAAUCAACAAUCACAUGCAUAACGUAAGUGUUCUUCUAACUAUCCCAAGGUCUCAACAUGCCUUAUCCUCCGUGUAAUGACCAUUCUCUGAUACCAACCAAAUAGGGAUGACACGCCCUAACCCUCGGGUACACAACAACCCUCAUUCUCUUAAGCCAUUUGAUUACGACGUCUUAGCAGGCGUCGCCGAGACUUAUGCACAAGUGGAAGCGGAAAUACAAUCAUUCAACCAAUCAAAUAGGGAUAGCAUAAAACACAUGUAUAUUCCAAAAACAACCCAAAAGCACGGCCACAACUAUCUCUAAAAGGGUCUUGGGGUAAGCCUAACUCCUUUAGUACUAUGAAGGUUAUUUAAAAAAGUGAUGCACCCCCACUACCACCUAGCUCCCCAUGGGCUCCAUGUAUCGAGGCUUUAGCUCAAUGAUCAAGUUGAGGUCGACUUCCAAAUCGGACACUGCCCCAUCGGGCACAUCCAGAUCCAUUGCAUCAUAGUUGGUGUUCCGUGGCGUUGCACCCAGAGGUCCGUUAAAAUCUCGGAUGGGGCCGUAUAGGUAGUCCCCUACCUAAAAGUACUAGGUUGAGAAGUGAUGGGGCACUAAAUUCUAAAGCCCCUCAUUGACCCAGAUCAUGAUCAUGUAGCAUUCAUAGCUGGCGUUGGUCCCCUCGAUUGAAUAUUUAGUAACCUCUUGACUUUGCUCAAUAGGGAUCCCCAACCAAACGUGGCGACAAGGUUAAGAUAUUCAUAGUCUUAAAAAAAUUUAAAUAAACACCAAUGAGAUAAAACUUAUUGAAUAAGCUCCCUAAUCCUUGAGUAUGGAGCUAAUUCACCUCAGAGUCAACCUAAACAUGUAAAUUAUCUAUUGAUAGCAGAUCAAUAUCAAAUCCCUUGUUUUGCCUCAACUAUUAACGGGAUAAGUACACUAUUAGUGUCAAAAAUUGUGUAUGGCACUCACUUUGGUGCCAAAAGUUUCUGUCGGAUCAUUUAAAUACCAAAAAAAUUGAAAAACAAUUAUUUUAGUGUCAAUUUCGAUUAGAUUGACCAGAAGUCCGACGUGACACUUUUUUAUUAAUUUUUGAAGCUAACGUGGCUCAUCGGAGAGUACAGUCAACAUAUAAACCACAAAAUGACGUUGUUCGGCUUCUUUCCCCCAAAUUGAAACCCUAAAUUCCCAAAUUGAGAGAGGGAGGGAGGGAGGGAGGGAGAGGAGACAUGUCAUCUUCUUCACAACACCAGCAGUGAACGGCACUAGUAGCAGCACCAGCAAUAACACUAGUAGUGGCGGCGGCGACGCACCAGUAGCGGCACCUUCGACCCCUCUUCUUCCUCCUCCUCCGUCAUCGCCUCCUAUUCUUCCUACCACUUCAUACUUGAGCAACAAUCUCAUUCUCUCCACACUCUCACCUGGUCGAGCAGCUACAAUGGUGGCUGAGCGACGAUGGUCGAGCGUUGGCAAGGGAACAACGGUGGCUAAGCGGCGAAGAAGAAACCCUAACCCUAAUUUCAAUAAACAUAUGAGCUAUACGGCGUUGUUUUUGCGAGGAUGUCCACGUAUAGCGGCAAAACGACAUCGUUUAAAAGCCAAGCAACUUUUUUUUUUUAAAUAUAAAAGCCACGUAAUUAAUCUGACCGGAAUCUCUCGCCGGUGGCACUAAAGUGAUCAUUUUUUCUCUGAUUUGGCACUUAAGUGAUCUGACGGAAACUUUUGGCACCAAAAUGAGCACCAUACACAACUUUUGGCACUAAUAGUGUACUUAUCCCACUAUUAACAAGAACGGUUAUCUCACUUUCUUGAGGUCAUCACAACAUAAGUACAUAGACAAUUUCCACAACAAAUCACAUACUCACGAGGUAGAGAUAAGAACAUGCAAUGUCCCAAUAAUGUAUAAAUGCCAUAUAAUAAUUCAAUCAAGGGUGAAUAGAGGCUAUGCAACAUUUUAUGUACUUCAAGACUCCCUAUCUUCCUUCUUUGUUUGUUCUCCCUUUUCUUUUAGGGGAAUCAUCAUCUAAUUAUGAACUUUUGCAACAUAUUUAAUCUCCCUCAUUUCUGGCUUCCGUUUAUUUCAAUUACAUCUCGAACUUUUGGAAAUUGUUCAUGACCCUUUCCCAGUAGGUAGGAAAGAUUAAUUAAGCAAGUGGGCCCGGACAUGCAACCUUUUAAAUAAAAAGAAAAAGGAAAGACGGGUCACAUUCAACGCAGACAAAUUUGGAAAGGAGAAGGAGCGAAACCGCUUACUGGAGACUGGAGAAUUCAGGUCAACAUGAAGAACAAUUUCUCAAACUUCUCGGUCGCCAUUUUCAUCGUGUUCCUGUUCAGAAAAAAGGAACCCUAAUAAUGUUUUAAUAUACUAAUGUUUUGUUGCAGCUUCAAAGCACCCAAACCACUAAAGAAGAAUCAAAACGAUAUAACUACCUACUCAUUAUUAGGAGGUGAAUUUCCAAUUCAGGGAAAUUCUAUCUCUUUUUACGAAAUUGUGGUUGACCAGGACCAGAUGACCUGGGCCUGAAGAUCGCUCAGCCUGGUUUUAACUUUUACGUAAAACUGUUAUCAAGUACAGAGAAGGCCUCUCAAAAUAGAUUAUUGCGAAUCAAAUUUGGAAAUUGUAUCUUGGUAUUUAACUUUAGAAACCUAAGAUAUGUUUCAAGAAUUUAUUGAAAUGAAACUAAUUUAGCAUCUCAGAAAUGCGUGUUUGGAUACAUACUGAUACUACUGCUUAAAUUGAGUGCAAGUACAACAGAGAAGUAUUUUAGAAGAUAUAGGCAUAUACGUGCCAUUUAUUCCACUAAUAAUGAUUGAAGUUAUCAUACAAUAUUAACUUGUCAUAUUAAGCCCCUGCUGUGAAAAUGCAAUCUCGAAGAUUGCCAAAUGUAAUUUAUUCGAGCAAAUACAUAGACCCUGAAGAGGAAACACCACUGCAAUCUCUUUCCCCAACUGAGAAUUCUCAACCACAAAGACAUCUUGAUCGAAACAAGAAACAACAAAUUUCUUACCAUGAAAUUUCAAAAACCCUAAAUAUGCACUCGACAACCUGCACUUUCCCCCUACAUGUCGCCGUGUGACAUCAGUAGUUCCUCCAACAACUUAUCGUCCAGAUACUCAAACUCGAUCACCUCUCUGGGUGGCUCUGCGGGAGCUAACACGGUGGACAAUGGCGAACCAGCUGAAGAGUGUGAUGACAACAGCGACACGGGUGCUGAAAGCGAACUGUGGUGGCUGGAGACAUAAUGGUCAUUCUGAGUGUAGUAUUGUUGCUCGUUGGGGAAAUUGAGGAUGGCUAAAUGGCCUCGGAAGGCGAAGGCAGCCCGGUCGUAGGCGCGGGCAGCCUCCUCCGCCGUUGCAAAGGUCCCGAGCCAGAGGCGGGCGCCGUUCCUUGUGGGGUCCCGGAUCUCAGCUGCAAACUUGCCCCAUGGGCGCCGCCGGAUCCCUCGGUACUGGGGUAGAUCGCAUCGUGACCGCGGUGCCCUCUUCUUCCCCGUCUCUUCGUUGUUCUCAAUGUUCUGAUUCCCUCUUGAAGAAGACCCUUCCAUGGCCAACUGAGUUAUAUCAAAUGAGGAAGUGAAGAGUAUGAUGAUCUGCGGGUAAGUUUUUUUGGUAAACUUUAAGAAUGUGGAUUUCAAAUUUGAUGACAACGAUGGAGGUUGCCCGGGUAUAAAUAGGAUUUGUUCAGGUAAGAUCCGAAGCGUUGAAAAGUUCAGGGAGGUCGUCUCUGACGGUGGGGAUAGUUUUUGGUUUGGGGGCGGGUGGGUGGGGUGGAGUGGGGUUCGUGUUUUUGUCUUUUUGUAAGAAAGUUCCGAGAGAGACAAAACGAAUUGGAGCAACUUGAGGCCCAGGAUGCCGAUUGGAAUUAGGAUUCGACGAAACCUGGUGAUAGCUUUAUUUUCAAAUUAUAUAUAAUUGCUAUGUCUCUCACAUGUUUUUGUAUUGUGGGCCCGGGUAAGGCAAAGGUCAGUUACGUGUGCAUGAAUGUGCAUGAUUCACUGGGUGAGGUAAAUAUUAAUCUACACUUUUGAAUUAGGCAUACUUCAUGGUAAUAGCCACCUCUCUAUGUAAAAUAUGUGGAUAACUCACCAAUGGGAAAUCAAGUACAGACGUGAGCUCUUGGAUUUUUGUGCAAUAAUAAUUGCUCAAGUAAAAUGAUCAAUGUUGUAUGUGCUAAGAUUUUGUUCCUUUGUUUUGUGUUUUAACUAAAACUUGACAAUAUCAAUGCGGAUAUUCAAAUAUAUGGGACAUGCUCCCAAUUCAAUGUAAUAUUGUUAAUUCACUUUGAUAAAAACCGUAGUAACUACUAAUGAAUAACAUGUCUAGUUUAAUUCGAGAACUAGAUUGAAUUUGCCUAAAUCAACUAGUUAAAGGUCAAUUCUAAGGAAAAUCCAUUUAGUUUUCAGUUUUGCGAACUUAGAAUAAGUUGACUAGUAUGGAACAAGUAUCAAAAUUGAAAUUGGUUUUAAAGUCUUUUCUAAAAGAUAUUCAUAUUUUGCAACUCGAGAAUUGAAUGCUGAUCUCCAACAUGAAGAAACCAUAACACAUGCUUGACGAGCAUAUGCUUUUCUAAAAAAAUGGUAAAACUUUUAUAUUUUACAUUAAGAAUUUCAUUUUUUAUCCAAAAGUUAUAAGGGGCUAAUUCACAAGUAGAAUAAGAAAUUACACCAUAACCCACCAUUUAAGAAUUGAAGAACCGCUGGUUUGAUUCCCAAUUUCGAUCUUUUGAAAUCGGGGAUUAUAAAAUCGGUUCCUGAGUCUAGAUCAGGAAACAAAUCACUCGAGCAUCGAACGUCCCUGGUAAUGAGUCCUUUAUCAUGUCUUCAUUCACUACGUGUGAUGAUGACUCUCUGACGAUCAGAAACAUAUAAGCACGAGGAUGACACAAUUUCUGUCCAUGCUGACGUGGUCGUCCUUGUCCAGCCAUUGCGUGCGGGGCCCUACAAGCACACGAAUUGCUGACGCACUGGAUUUUCUCUGUGGGCCCCAACGGAACCAUUUUGAGAAACCUUUUUCUAAUAUACACGUUUCAAUGUUGUGGUACCGUGGAAAUCAUAUUAAAAAUUCUACUGGCUCAUCACUCAUGACGUGGCACUCCGGAACGUGACGGAAUCAUUGUGUCACUUGUCUAGUGCAUCGAACGAUAUUCACUAAAAACGAAGGUUGAGCAAAGACUAUAUGCACAGAUUUCAGAGACUUAUAUUCUUUAAUAUAAAGUGGCAAUAAUAUGGGCUCAUUUCCUUUCUACGCGAGGGCUAAGCCAAAGUGCAUCUCAGAUUAUAUUUUACUCCGUGUUAUCUCCGCAACUUUGAGAAAAUAAUUCAUUCUGGAAAUAUUAUGGUAAUUUUCUUUUAUAUAUUGAGCAUUUGGAAUGCCCUUUACUCUUAAAUUAGCGUUGUUUAUCAUAUGAAAUUUGAAAUUUUUUAUAUUAAAGCUCCGAUGAAAUCUAAAUAUUGGAUGAGGCAUAUGGAAGAUUGUACUAAUUUUUCAUGGAUGUAAAUCAUUGUUUGACGUACAUUAAAUAAGGCUUCACGGUAGCCAAACAUGGUGAUUUGACGGGUUGGAUCAAUUUUGAUUCAGUUUGAUGAGAUUUUGAAUCUUAUAUGGAUGUGGGCCAUUUCAAUUUGAAAAAUUUCAACUAUAGGCCUGGUUUGAUUUGGGUCAAUGCGAACUCAAGUCAAUUUCAAAAUGUUUGUUUUUCUGAUGCAACAAAUUUUAUUUGGUCAUUGCCAGCUUCAAAUUGUGCUGGAUUUCAAAUAGUUUGGAUAAGGAUCAAUUUUGAUCAGUGACUUUGAGUCAAUUAUCAUAUAUAUUCUAGUUUAAGCAAAUCGGUCCUUCUUUCAAAUUAAUUUUGUGCAUACUAUACCUCCUUUGAUUGUCGAAAUUAGCUCUCAACGAUUAGUCAUACAUCUUAUUUUGCAAUACCUUAAUUAGGAUAGAAAUUGAAGUUAUAUGAAACACGUGCAUCAAGGAUAUUAUCCUAGGGCGCACUUGUUUCAUGGAAAAGAAGACUUGUCAAAUGGAUGGGCUAGGUUGGGUUUGGAUUGGGCCAUCAAUGGUCCAACUAGAGUGGCCCAUUAAUCCAUUUAUGAUCAUACCCAACCUGUAUUAGGAUUCAUUUUUAGCAUUUUUCUCUUUAUAUUAUUGCCUUUUAAGAAUGAAUGGCUCCAUGGACUAACUCAUUGAGUUAGUGAGGAGCUUCGGAAUCAAGUUAUGGAUGGGGACAUGAAUGUGAUGGUGAAAGUUCGGGCUGAGCUAUCCAUAAAUCAUGAAACAGAUUCGAAAUUUGGUUUUGAGUACAAGUAAACAAGAUCUUAACAUAUAGGUUGACGACUGUUUAAUAAUACAUAAUUUGAUGCGAUGUUUUCAAUUUUAAUUUUUUUUUUUUUUUGUACAAAAGUUUUCAAUUUUAAUUAACGAUUAUGCAGUUCGAACCCAUACAAAAACGCACAGAUAUAAAGUAACGAAGUCUAUGAUCAUAAUAAUAAAUUCAUAAAAAGUAAAGGAAGCCCAUUGCUACAGGGAUCUCUAACUCUACUCUAAUGUGCCUCCUCUCACUACUCUCCUUGGUAUUCCUCUCGCAGUCUUAUCCUACCUUUUUCUUCUACCCCUUCCUCGUUUCCCUCUUCACUCUCUCUCUCUCUCUCUGUGGCAACACGGGUCUCUCCACACUCGUCUCCUGCUCUCCAUCCUAUUACACAACUCCCCUCUCCUCCAUUACCCCACUCAAAACCAAGCCAUCCACCUUCCAAUUACCCUUCAGGCCCUCCCGAAUCACUCACCUGACGCACCGCCCCACCACCACCAUCCACCCUGUUGCCGCUGUCGAGGCCCCCGAGAAGAUCGGGAAGCUCGACGAGAUCUCCAGCCUCACCCUCAUGGAGGCCCUCGCCCUUGUGGACUACUUGCAGGGCAUGUUGGGGGUCUCCACGGCCGAGUUCAGCCCAACGGUGGUGGCCAUGGCGCCCUUAGCAGGGGGAGACGCAGGGGGUUUGUCGAAGGAUGAGGCAGAGGACGCAAAGAAGCCGCUCGAGGUGACUGAUACUGAGACGAUAGAAAGUGAUCACUGUAGGGUUAAAUUAAAUUGGGUAAACCAUGCGUUUAUUUCGCAAACUAUAAAAGAUUAUAAAAUAUUUUUCAAAAUCAAUUAUUUGUAUAAUUUACAAAAAUGAAUGAAUGGACAAAUAAUAUUUUCAUUAUUCAUGAAAUUAUUUAAAUAUUAAAUAUUAUCGAUAAUGAAAAACAUAUUUUAUUAACUAAUUAUUUCAAAUGAUAAAAUUAAUAAUCGUUGAUUUUUUUUUUCGAAUUAUUUAGUUUUUGUGAAACAAAUGGAUCCUAAGUAGGUUGAAAUGAGUUUGUAAUACACCCAUUUAUAAUCCACUUGUUUUGUCUCUUUUUUAUUUUUAUUUAUAGACCCAUUAUACUGGCCUGUAAAUUUUUUAUAAUCCAUUCGAGUGUUUUUGAGUUACUAAGGGUGUGUUUGAUAACGAGUUUAUUCCGAAAAAUAAUUUUUGAUGAUAACGAUUUUUUUUUUAUAAUCCAUUCGAUUAUGUUCUAAGUAAAAGAAUGCAUUUGGUAACUUCCUAAAAUUUAUAUUCCCAGAAUAAAAAUAUAUUUGGUAGGGUUCUUAGAUUUUUUUUUAUUUCUUUUAAUUUUUAAUUCUUUUAUUAUAUUUUCUUCUUUUUUUUUUUUCCUUUUUUCUUUUUCUCUUUGACUGAUGGCCAGUGACUGGCUAGGUGAGGUUUAGCAAACUAGCCGGAGGCUAGCUUGGCCAUGACAAGCCUCAGCCUCGCCUAGGUGGCGCAAGGUCGGCCUCACCUUGGCCUAGCGAGGCCUAGCCUCGCGCCGACUGGGGAGGUCGAACCUCGUCAUGGCCGUGUGAGGCUCGGCCUCACCUUGGUUGAGCAAGGUCAACCUCGCUAAGAUCUGGCGAGGUCGAGCUCACCCAGCCACCGAUGAGGUCGAGUCUUGCCGUGGCUUGGCGUCUUCAGGAGUUAGCAAUGCUCCGGUGAGGUCGCCAGCCCUCAUUUGGCCGAUCACCGGUGCCGGCCAUGGCUAAGGUCAGCGACUGACCAAAAGGAAGAAGAAGAAAAGAGAAGAAGAGAGAAGAAAAAAUAAAAUUAGAUUCUAGAAAAUUGUUUUCGGGAACAAGAAAUUACUUUUUUCAACUUCUUAUUUCUGUUCCAAAUCAAUUCCCCAGAAUAAAAAAAUAAUUUUUUUGUUCCUGGGAACAAAAGUUUUUACCAAGCAAGUUUCUAUUCUUUUUUCGUUUUUUUUAGAAUAAAAGAAUAGAAAUAGUUAUUCCGAAGAACAUAAAUAGUUAUUCUGGGAAACAGAAACAACUUUUACCAAAUAGGCCAUAAAUGUAAUUGGUUUACGAAAAAGUAACAAUUUGAAAAAUAUAUUCUUAGAACCGAUCGUUUAUGUCAUUUAGAAAAGGUACUUAGCAUAAUUUUUUUUUAAUUAUCAACACUAAUCUAUGAGUCAUUGAUGUCAAAAAAAAAAUUGACAACUAAUUUUUUCAAAAAAUAUAAUUUAUCAAUUUUAGGAAAAAUAAUUUUAAAAUUGAUAUUUUUUUUAAACAAACGCACAAUGAAUUUACAGACAAUUUCGUGUUCGAGUCUUCACGAACUUCAAUUUCACUUUGGAUGGGUUUUAUGCCUAGUCGGAUUCAGGUUCCCUUAGGAUUUGAUCUCGAGAAUAGUCAAAUUCAGAUGCUUUUGAAUAAAUUGGAUUCUUUUCGGGUUAUUCGUUUAUUAAACAAGUUGGUAUAAAUUAUUGACUUUUCUUGGUCAAUUCGAGUUGGAUUUAGAUGGGUUGGGAGGGUAUUUCGGAUUGGUUGGGAGAAAUUUAAAACCCUCGUCACUUUUGCACAAAACAUUCUCCUUUUUUUUUUUUUCUCAAAACCUACAAAAAUAUGCAUGACCUUUGAGUUCUCAUUCGAUGUUGCAUCUAUACUCGUAAGCAUAUUCAUGGAUGAUGAAUACAAAUAAUUUGAAGAAAAUAUUUUUCAAAUCAUUUAUUUUUUAAACCAGUGAAACCUUUUUGUAAAUUUUCACUCGUAACUCACCAAUGGGAGCUUUUUCUUUGUAAUCAAGCACAAAUAUGAGCUCUUGUGCUGGAAUGGGGAAUUAUUGUGCAAUAAAAAUUGCUAAAGUAAAAAGAAGAAAGUUGCAUGUGCUAAGAUUUUGUUUUUAUUUUUUAUUUACUAAAUAUUGAAAAAAAAAAAAACACUUUGGAUAUUCAGACAGAUAGGACCCACUCAAAAGUCAAUGUAAUAUUGUCAAUUCACUUGAUAGACAAAAGUGUAGUGAGUUCUUUUCUAUCCUGUUCAAUAUACUCAUGCGGUCGUCCUUGUCCAGCCAUUUUGUGCGAGCACCUUGACUUUCAAAUUCCUGCUGUUUAUACCAUGAAAUUUGACUUAUAUUAUUAAAAAUCUACUAUCAACUCUUUCUAAACUGGAGAUUCGGUUAAUUUAUACGGAGGCAAAUAAUUCCUUGUGUAAAUAUUAUGAAAUUUACUUUUGAUUAUUGAAGACCUUGACUUUCAAAUUUUGGUUGUUCAUCCCAUGAAAUUUGACUUGUAUUAUUAAAAACCUCCGAUUAACUCUUUAUAUUAGAGAUUUGGCUAAUUUGUACUGACACAAAACAAUUUCUUUACCUAUAUUGGAUAAGGCUUCAUGGUAGCUUGAGGUGAUGAUUUGGCCGGUCCAAUCAAUUUCAAUUCAGUUUAUUUCGGUUUCAUAUUCUAUAUCCCAUUCGGAUAUAAGUUAUUUCGAUUAGAAAAGUUUUAAAGUAUAGACUAGGUCAACCCAGUUUAUUGCGAAUUCAGCUCAUUCCAUGCUCUCUCUCUCUCUCUCUCUCCCCCCACUCCCCCCCACCCUUCUUUUUCUCUUCCUCCCUGUCUCUCUUCUUCCCUCCCUCUCUUAUAGUUUAAGUGUCGUGACAUGAAGAGAUUAAUUAAAGCAGACGGGCUCGGAGAAGGAGAAGGAGAAGGAGAAGGAGCGAAACCGCUUACUAAAAACCGGAGAAUUCAGGUCAAAUGAAGAUCGGUAAUUUUUCAACAUUCUCGGUCACCAUUUUCAUCAUGUCCUAUUCAAGAAAAGGAACCUCAAUGAUUUUGAAAAGUACUAAGUGUUGGAAUUUUGUUUGUUAAAACAAAAUAAGUGCAUUUUACUUUGUCCCACAUAGAAAAGGUGGGAGCAGGAGGAUUAGUUUAUUAAUGAGGAAUUUCCUUUUGUAGUUAAAGGAGUGAUUCGGUGGGGCUAGACCCACCGUACCCGCGUGCUUUUUUAAUCCCUUGCUUUUUAUUUAUUUAUUUUUAUUUUAUUUUAUUUUAUAUUUUAGUUCAAAGGUUGCCUUUUAAUUUGAGAAUUUCGGAAAUGAAAUAUAAAUGAAAAUUCGAAAUUCUAUUAAAAAAAAAUAAUAAUUAUUCCGAAUUUUAUUUGUUUCUUUUCAAGACAACCUUUGGAAAAUUACUUAUUUGGUUUUAAUUUUUCCGAAGGAUUGCAAUUGUUCGGUUUUCGACUUCUUCCGAAGAGUCACAUUUGUUUAUCCGAACAAAUUUCUAAAAGACGUGUUUGUUCGCAAUUUUCACGAAGAGUUGCAAGACCGUUUCAUAUAAAUACUUGUCAUUUUUCGGAAAGAAAUGUGUGGUCAUUUUCGAGUCUCCUUUCUGAAAAAACUGCAGCCAAUUUUCGAUUGUUUCUUAGAGAGACCCUGGAGAAAUACUAGAAUUGCUAUUUAGUAUUCUCAUCCGAGACUUUGUUGUAUCCUAGAGGAUUUUUGCCAGUGACCAUUAGCAACGUUGUGGGGCAAAUAAAUCCUUAAAGAAAGUGAUAUCACGCCUCAAAGUCCGGGUUGUUUUUACUCGAUCCGAUUUCAUUGUUCAACCCAUUUCGAAGACAUAUUUUACCAACACUAAGUUUUGGUUCAGCUUCAAAGCACCCAAAUCACUACCCAAUAUAUAUAUGUUGCACCUUAAAACUGCAAUAUCCUAGCUCAGCCUGGUUUUACAUCAACCUAUCCUCAAUUACAAAGAAGCUCUUUCAGCAUAGAUUACUACCAAACGAUUUCGAAAAUUGUAUCUUGGUAAUUAAUGUUAAAAAUUAUUAAAUUAAUGUCUCGAGUUUGAAUUCAGAUAACGAUUUGUUAAACCGAAUUUAUUGAUAAAGAUUUUCCAAGUAACAGAAAAGCUUCGCUGGACUUUUGAAGAUUUACAAAAGAGCAAAUAAUAGAAUAAACAAAAAAAAAGCGAAGCAAAGUUUCUUCACAUAUUUACGGAAGCCCGCAGAAGCUGAAAGAUGAUUUCCUCGUGGGGUCCAAAAGUCAAGACUUUGACUUUCGGGCAGUCACAAUAUAAACUUUAUAAAAGAAGCCUCUAGAGCCUCUCUCUCCCACGUGAAGCUAAAAGGAGAUGGGCCCCAGGUCAAAGUUUUGACCUUUUGGGCUCACAUAAAAUAGAUUAUGCACGUCUUCUUUCCUUUGGUGAGUGCUGCUGAAACCUUACAUGGAGUUGCUGCCACACAACGUCAAGUGAAGCCACCCACGCCAUCAAGAAAAGGAGUUCUUGCUUUCGGCCAAAUGAGUUGUUUAUUUAUAUUAUUUGCUGCCGACUCUCCUCGUAAACAUAGGUAUCGAUAUUCGGAUUGAACUACAUAAAUUUCUGAUGUCUUUAUUAUUUCUUGUUUAUUUCUCUGAUGAUUUCGCAUUAACAUAAAUUAUAAAAUCUUGUCGUUUUCGUAUAUUAUAUUCUAAUAGAAACCAUAGACAUAUUGCAAAGUUUUUAAAAUGAAACAACUAUAGCAUCCCAGAAAUCUGGGUUUGGAUGAAUACAACUGCUUAAAUUGAGUGCAAGUACCCAUAGAAGUACUUUAGAAAGAUAUAGGAAUGAUAGGAGCCAUUUACUUCGACUGACAACAUUGCUCAGUCAUAUUGAACCCCUGCUGUGAAAAUGCAGCCUUGAAGAUUGCCGAAAGAAUUCUUUUCAAGCAAAAUAUGUAUAAACAUUGCGAAGGAAACGCCACGCGAUCUCUUUUCUCAAGUGAAUACUCUCGCUGACGAAGACGACUGAAACAAGAAACAAUAAUAAUUCUUACCAUGUAAUUUCGGAAACCCUAAGUAUGCACUCGCCUACCCGUAUUUAUCCUAUAUGCUGCUGUGCGACAUCAGUAGUUCCUCCAACAACUUAUCGUCCAGAUAUUCGAACUCGAUCGCAUCUCUGGAUGGCUUGGCAGGAGCUAACUCCGUGGAUGAUGAUGAACAUGCUGAGAAUGAUGACGACGACAGCGAUGGGGACGCCGAGAAAUAGCUGCGGUGGCCAGAGACAUUGUAGUCAUUUUGAGCGUAGUAUUGUUGCUUGUUGGGGAAGUUGAGAAUGGCCAAAUGGCCUCGGAAGGCAAAGGCAGCCCGGUCGUAGGCGCAGGCGGCCUCCUCCGCUGUCUCAAAGGUCCCGAGCCAGAGGCGGGCACCGUUCCUCGAGGGAUCCCGGAUCUCAGCUGCAAACUUGCCCCAAGGGCGCCGCCGGAUCCCCCGGUACUGGUUUUGAUCACAUUGCAACCGUGAUCCCCUCUUCUUCACCAUCUCUUCGUUGUUCUCAUUGUUCCGAUUCCCUCUCGAAGAAGAUCCUUUCAUGGCAAAGUGAGUUAAAUCUCAAAUGAGGAAGUGAAGAGUAAGAUAAUUUGUGUGGCUGCUUUUUCGGUAAGCUAGAAGAAGAAAGAGUUCAAAUUUGGCGGCGACAAAAAAAUUACGGACGCUGGCGGGUAUUUAUAGAGUCUAAUUUGAUAAGUUGAGAGGCGUUGAAAAGUUGGUGGGGGAGGUCGUAUCUGACGGUGGGGGUUUCGUUUUUUUUUAUGCCCUCUUGUGAGAAGGUUCGGAGAGAGACAGAAAAAGCAUUAGAGCAACUUGACGUCCGCCUUUUGGAAUUCUGAUUGGACUAUGGCUUUAUUUUCAAAUUAUAUACAAUUGCUAUGUCUCGGACAUAUUUAUGUAUUGUGGGCCAGGGUGGGGGCAAAACUCAGAUCCGUAUGCAUGAUGUCAUGAUGUGGCGGCUAAGGUUGCAUUUGACAACUUCCUAAAUAGUAAUAAUUUCUAUUAUUUUAUUUUCGAGAAUAGAUUUGGAACAUAAAUUCGUUUGGUAAAACUUUUAUUUCUAGAAAUAAAUUUCUAUUUUUUUUUUUGUUCUUGAAAGUAGAUUUGAAACAAAAUUGAAAAGUAAAAAAAAAAAUUGAUUAUUUGUUAUUCGGAACAAUUUCAGAAUCAAAUCAACUCAUUUUUUUUUUCUCUUUUUUCUUCUUUCUUCUUUUUGUUCUUCUUCCCUCUCUUCUCUUCUUCAACCGCCAAUGCCGCCAUCGGCGAUCGAUGUAGCGAGGUUUGGCGAGCUCGCCUAACCACCGAUGAGACUCGGCCUCGCUAGAUUUGGCGUGGCUGAGCCUCGCCGGUAGCUAGGCAGGUCUCACUCGGGUCUCCCUUGAGCCUCGUUUGAUCGAGCAAGGCUCCGUCAAGCUUGGCCCGUCGGCGGUUGGGUGAGCUCGGCCUUGCCAGAUUUGAGUGUGGCCACUAGCCCAGCCAAGGCUCGGCCGAGCUUCACCUAGCUGUUGGCAAGGCUUGACCGAUGAGGAGUGGCCUCGGCAAGGGCUGGUGACCCUCUAGCAAGGUCAUUGGCCCUUGUUUGGCCAGUCACCGGUCAUCUUAAGGCCAGCAACUGGUAAUCAUUGAAGAAGAAGAGGAGAAAUGAAAGAAAAAAGUAAUAAAAUUAUUUAAAAAUUUAAAGAAAAUGAUUUGAAGUAGAGAUUUACAGAUGAUACCAUACACAAUUCUAAUUCGAGGGGCGAUGGUAAAUAUGCAUCUACACUAUUGGAUUAGGCAUACUUCUUACAUACGAUAUACGUACGAGGCUCGUUAGCACAAUUGGCCUUAAUUUGUCAUCUGUCAUCCUCUUAUAAUGUGUCCUUUACACGGGGUGCGAAUCAUUUAUCAUCCUCUUUUAUUGUGCCUCAAUUUGUGUCGGAUACCGAGGAUGUCAAAAUUGGAAAUCCAACUCAAUUGUGAUUUUCAAAAUAGCCAUUGUUACAUGUCAUUAUUGUAUAUCAUGAAUUAUAUAUAAUCUCUUUUAACGGGUAUGUGGUGGGUAGAAUCAGUCCUUGCACAAUAGUGUCAAUAUCCAAAGUAAUGUCAUGACUUGCAAGAAUAGUGUUGUACGGUUAAAUUCUUGUCGAAGCUCAAUCCAUAAUAUUUAAUGAUUUGAGUGCUUAAUUCCCAUGGAUACCAAAUAAGGCUCACAUAUCUGAUUAUAUAGAUCACUGGCACAAAAAAGCGGGUCUAAAGUGAUUGUAGUCUUAAAUAAGAGUUUUAAGUGAUUAAUUUAGUCUCAAAUAAGAAUUCAAAAUUCAAAUCCUAUUCACAGGUAAUGGCAUUUUCAUCUAAGAAUAUUUUUUUCUUAAUUUUUCGUUUUCUUUCUUUUUAUUUUUGUUUUUUCUUUCUUCAUCUUCCUCACGCCUCCUUUGCUCUUCAUCACCUCCACCUUCGACGCCAUCAUCAGGCCCUCUCUCUUGCAAUGCCAUCUCAUCGUAUUAUUAGGAUCGGCUUUUCUUCGGUGCAAGUCAUUACAACACAAGCUAAUUUGUUGAAGAUUUUAAUUUUUGCUCCUCAAAAUGGUUCCUAGACAAUUCUACGGAGCCAAAACAAGCGACAUGCUUGCAAAACUAGGUUCUCUUUAUCCUGACAUCAAUUGCAAGUUUUGGUCUGAUAUGAGCGUCUUCCUUCGAGGCAUACCACGCGCCUCAAAGAUGUUCGCUAAAACGCCUCAAUGGGUCUAUUUUGUUUUAAGAAUAGAUAAUUACGAAGGUCUUCACUUCUAAUGCGACGAUAUGAUUUGUCUAGGGUUUUAAUGAUGCAUUUGCUAACAUUUCUAUUUUUGAGAAUAAUUUAUGUUCAGAAAUAACUUUUUCCAUUUCUAUUUCCUAGACGAGUUUCCGAGUAUAAAAACACAUUUAGUGUGACUCUAAAUUUAUAUCCUAUGAAUGGAAAAAGAACAAAAACAUGUUGACCCUCAAAACUUUUUAUGACGUGAAUUUUUUUAGUUUUAAAUAAUUUUCUAGGAUUUUUCUUUAUAUGUAAAAAAAAAAAAAAUCUUUUUCUCAUCCCUUCUUCUUCCUCCUCUAGGCAGUCACAGGGCCUUGGCAAUGGCUAGUGACCGACUUGACCUCGCUAGAUUUGGGCAAAGUCAAGACUUACCCCUUGAUCUUGCCCAACCAUGGCGAGGUUCGACCUUGCUAGAUCUGGGCGAGGUCAAGCCUCACCAAAUCUAGAGAGGUCGAGCCUCGCCAGCCAAGUCUUUGGUCGGUCGCUAGCUAUCACCAAGGCCUGGCGACUCAUUACAUGAGAAAGAAGAAGGAAGGAAAAAUAGAAAAGAAAAGAAAAAAAAUGACCUUGUUUCAUAAAUUGUUCUCGAGAACAAACAAUUAUUAUUAUUAUUUUUACUUUUUAUUUUUGUUCCCAAUUUAUAUAGGGCCACUUUUCUAUUAUUGAGAAUAGAAAAAUUAACUGACAUUACCAAAUGGAUUUCUAUUCCAAGAACAAAAUAACAGCAAAAUAGAAAAAUUGGAGCAUUACCAAACAUGCCAUGAUAUGUCAAAUCACUUGAUGCUAAGAUGACUCCUCUUAAGCCUCUCGCUAUUAUUAGCCAUUGUUAAUGUUAUUCCCAUAUGACUUGUGACCACUUGAUGGGGGUUAUUAUUGCGACGUCCCAAGCGCGUUGUCGACCCGUUUUUGUUUCUAUACUAUUCUUGUGAGCAUGUGGAAGUGUGUACAACAACCAUCUCCUAGACAAUAAAAUAAUUGAGCAGUCGGGAAAACACUACACAAAGCAUACUAUAUUACAUCAGUACAAUUACAAGCCAUUUUCCAUGUGCAUUUCCUUAUUUACAUUAAUCUUCUAUCAAUUGUAGACUAGGGGAUUUCUAUCUCCUCUAGCAUGGCCUCCGGUUUAAAGGGGUGAGACUUCCAUACCUAGAAAUCUGAGAAAAACAAUGGGGUGAGUCAAAGACUCAGUAAGUAAAAUCACUAAUCUCCAAAGAGGAGGACGUCUCAUCAUUGAAUCAACCUAUGAAUCUCAACCUCGUUAAGGCAUUGAUGGUAGAUCAAUAACAAAUCCAUUGCAUUACCUUGAGUAUGUUCAUGUGAACAACUCGGCUUAUUUGUGGUGCAACCACUACCAGAAUCAUCAAAUUGAAACAUAGAAACAUGCACACAGAAUUUCAUUUAUUAACAUAAUCAAAAUCCAUCAGUUUUUCUUAAAUCCACUAGGCAUUCGAAAUCCAUCGAGCAUCCGGAAUCCACCGUGCAUUCAAAAUCCAUUGGGCAUCCCAUUCUCAUGAACGAGGCAAUGUAAAACGCAUCAUUUGGGGGGUAAAGGUGUGCUCUUGGACCAUCCCUCAUCCCAACCCAAUAUUGUCCUUUGCAAGGCGUGCUCCUAGACCAUCUUCCUCAAUGAUUUGUCCUUGGCAUAGCCAAGACACGUUGACAGAAUUUAUCUUUCCUUUUAUAGGAUGACACAUCAUGCAUCACACAAUUCGGUUCAUUAUCCUUUUAUCUUAGCCAAUGCAAACAAGGUCUGAAGGCAUACUCAUGCAAAUGUGUGUACCAGGACCUAAGACAUCAUAACUACUAAAUGUGCGAAUGACAACCAUUGUGGUUAGAAAUUGAUUUCUAGAAAGAAAUAUAAUUUAUUUAUUCUUAGAUGAGUUUCUAAGCAAAAGUACGCAUUUAAUAAUGAUACAAAAUUUUUAUUCCCAAACUAGAAAUUCAUUUGAUAACAACAUAAAAUUUCUCUCUCUUAAGCGAAGGACGGCACCUGAUGAUUGGCGGUCGGUGAUCAGCAAGUGGUGGUAACCGACAACCGACGGUAGUGACCGGCAAGCAACAAUCACCAACGGUCGGUGGACAAUGACCAACUAGGCCGGUGACAGCAAUCAAUGGAGGAUGCGAUCAGUAGCGACAAAUGGCGGGCAAUAACGGUAGGUGGGUGGCCUCGGCUAGUAGUAAGGACAAGUAAUGAGAAUAGUUUUUAUUUCUCAUUUAUGUUCCAAAAAGAGAGGAGUAAAAUUUUUUUGCUUCUCAUUUCUUUUCAAAACUAUUUUUUGGACUAAAAAUGUGUUUUAGAAAUAGAAAAAUGAGAUUGUGUUGCCAAACAAAUUUCUAUUUCAUAAACAAGUAUAAAAUAGAAAAAUUGUUCUAGAAUAGAAAUUGAAUAAUUAUCAUUCGCGCCCUAAUAUGUUGAGCAUGGCAUGGAACUCGUGGCUCAAAUCUACAUGCCUAAACGCCAAUCCAAAGCCGAGAGAGACUUAAAUCGACAUGCCUCAAUGCCGAUUCAAAGCCAAGUAAGUCUCAAACUGUUACGUCUCAAUGCUGAUCUCAUAACCGAGUGAGACUCGUUCAUGACUGGGGGUGUGAUUGUAUUUUUGAAUACAAGAUAUUAGCAAACCAUACAAAAUCAAUCAUCAUCAUGCACAUGACUACACAUGAGUGAGCACACGACUAAAUCCAACAACAUAACACAUUGCCUUGGUCAAGGGUUAGGAAUUCUACUUACAAAUUGCUCAAGCGGUGGCCAUAGCCGGCACGAGCGAGUGACAAGGAUGAAAGUGGCCGAGGAAGAGAAAGAGUAACCGAGAGAGUGAGGGCAUGCAAGCGAGGGGAGGAAUGGGAGAAAUGAGCCAAGACUUGGGGAAAUGAAUGGGUAGUGCCUCUAUUCAUAACCCAAUCCUCCAUGAUGGCCUUUCC
rnacentral:lncRNA from 1 species